rnacentral:lncRNA from 1 species
GGUGGGCAAGAGGAGGGCUUUCUCAACAAGCUCCGCGAGCUCGGUAUAAUGGGAGUCAAGAAGAGCAACGAGGACAGAGUUGGAGUUGAUUUGAGGAGAGUUGGAGGAAGAAGAGGGCUUCCUGGGCAAUGCAGAAGAAUGGGCAUGGGUAGAGAGGAGGAAGAAAGAAGCGAGGAAGAGGAUGUUGAUCAUCUUGAGAUUGGGGAAGCCAUAGAUGUGAUAAUCCAUGGCUCAAAGCCCUGAGAAAGAUGGACUGUUUCUCUGUUUUCGGGAAGAGAGUGGGUGGGUUUGGGGGAAGAAAGGAGAUGAUAAAAGAGAGAGUGAGAGGAGAGAGGUGGAGGAGGCAUUAACGACUGAGAGGGAGAGAGAGAAAGGGAGUAAAUUAGAGUUAAGAGAGAGAAGCGAGGGAGACAGGCUGUAAGUGGGGACCACAUGGGACUUGUCUGUAUCAUUACUCUCUUGCGCCUUUUGUUUAGUUGUGGUGGCUCUUGUUAGCCGCCGCGCCAAGCUGCUUCUCUCUUUCCCCUCUCCUACCAGUUACCACUCACACCUCCAUUAUUAAUUUAUUUAUUCUCUUUCCACCCCACCCCGUCAUCAAAUAACUCUCAUUAUUUCGUACCUUCAAUAAUCUUAAAAUUUUUACUUUAUUAUAUUAAUACUUAAUCAUUGUAAUUAAUAGAAGAAAUUAUUCAAGUGGGUUGCAAUUUUUUAUACCAAUAAUUACUUAAGAAAAAAUAAAUGAAAUAUUUCAAAUAAAUAUUUUUUGAAAUAUAUGUAUAUAAAGUCAUAAUACAUUUUAUUAAUACUUUAUUUAUCCUAACUUGUUCAAAUAUUUACAAUUAUACCAUUAUGCAUAUAUACAACCUCGAGCAAAAGAUUUUUUUUUUUUUCUGUCAUGUAAUGGCAUAAUUGUAAAUAAUAAUACCAUUAAGGAUAAAUGAUAGAUAUAAUGAGAAUGAUUAUCUAACCGUCGCCAUGCAAGCAACAAAUGGCAAGGCAUAUUGUUGACAUUACACUACCCGUCCCAACCUUCGUUUAGCACCACGCCACCUGUCCUUUGAACCUUGCUUUGAGAAAUGUACCGUAAUUUAUUCUUUCACCUUUUUCAGCAUCUUCUCUUCUUCUACUUCUCUUUCAGUCUAGUUAGGUUAUUUAAAUUUUUUUUUUUUUUUUUUUUUUUGCAUGCUUUUCUUAUUUAGGUGAUAUAGAAUCCUCAUCUACAUAGAAUUUGAGGGAAAUAGGGAUUGUUUGUAAUUUAUGUAUGUAUGUUAAUGAUAUCUAUACUCUAUGAUAAAAGUUUUUUUAAAAAUAAAAAAUGAAUAAUAAAUAAAAAAGUAUAGAAGGAAAGAUAGUGAUCUCUAAUCUUUCAUUCUUUUUGGUGUGCUUGGCUGGUGAAAAAACAAAAGAAAAUUGGGCACCCUUUUUCAACAAAAAGAAAAAUGGAAAAAGAAAAGAAAAGAAAAGAAUAAAGCAACAUUACGAAGAAACCCAAAUUCUAGAACAAAGAAAUAAUCAAAAUUGUGACAUGUUUUUAGAUCACAAAUAUUUGCGUGUGAGAGACUCGAAGAAAAAAAAAGCUUUCUGUGAGAGAACCACGAGAAAUAAGAAUGAAAAUGAAUAUUUUAUUUUUGAUUUAUUAUUGUCUAUAGAUUUUUAUUAUCCAUAUCAAAUACUUCCUUCUACUAAAAUUAAGAUUUUUCUCUAUUUUAUUUCAUAUCUUAACUAUUAGGAUUUCAUUUCAUUUCUAUUGCAUAAAAUGCACUAAUUAUAUUACUCACCACCCUCUUUUUCUCCCUAUGCUCCUUUAAUGCUCUUGUACAUAGUUAUAAAAUGAGUGAUUUUACUCCAACUUAAAUGGGUUGAUUAAAGAUGAAACAUUAACUUAGGUGGUGUUUGUUUUUUUACUUAAUUCUAAAUAGAACCAUAAUGCUUAAUAGUGUUAAAUAUUAGGUUGUUUGUUUUUAUAAUAUUUUAUUUCUAUUAACUAUUAAAAAGUAUAGAAAAACCAAUAUAUUAUUUUUUCUAUUUAAAAAAAACUACCGUAGUGUGUUUUUUUUUACUUAAUUCUAAAUAAAAAUUUAAUGCUUAAUAGUGUUAAGUAUUAGACCGUUUGCUUUUAUAAUAUUUUAUUUCUAUUAAGCAUUAAAAGGUAAAGAAAAAUUAGCAUGUUAUUUUUUCUAUUUAGAAAAAGUCAAAUAUUUUGAUUUUUUCUAUUCAGUAAAAAGUUUAUAAUAAAUCAUGAAAAAGUAGAAAAAUAAACAACCUAAAGUCUGAAAGCAAAUUACUUUUAGCAAAAAGCUAAAAAACAAACACACUCUACAUAUUUUGGUUUUUUCUAUUUAGUAAAAAGUUUAUAAUAAGUCAUGAAAAAAAUAGAAAAACAGACAACCUAAAUUUUGAAAACAAAUUGUUUUCAGCAAAAAGCCAUAAAAACAAACACCACCUUAAUAAUAAUUCCUUUAGUUGAAUUUGACAUAUAUCUUUUAUGAAUCUUAAUUGAUUAUGAUAUAAAUGAAUUCAAGACUUCAAGGAUUGAAGAAGUAAUCCUUAGAGAUUGAUAGAAUUACCUUGUUGUAUUAUAGAUAUCAAUUCAUAGGUAAGUUGUAUGUAAUGGAUAGUAGGUCAUGAACCUAAGAAAUUAAUUGAUUUUCCUAGGAUACUAGAGUGUAGUUAAUUUUCUUUAGUGAAAUGUUAAGCCAAUUUUGUAAUUUGUUAUUAAGAGAGUCAGUAUCUUCCUAUAAGUUCUCAUGGUUCUCACUUAAGUAAGCUCACAUCCUUUAAUGACACAUGUAAGCACACGCAUGCUAAAGCUAGUACAAACACAAACAUUAAGUAAAAGCAUGCCUAUACAUAAGCACAAGGUUACACAAGUGAUUGGAGCUCAAAUAUGUACUCCAAUGGCACAUAACAAUGAUUUAUGAAAUAUAAAAGGUUGAACUCACUCAACUUAACUUAAAACUUGAGAAGCAUGAGAAGAUCUAAGUAAGUGCAAAAUGAGAAUUUCAUGGGCAUGAAAAAUGGGGAAUGAAUGUUAUAGAGUGGGAUAGAGGGCGAACAACCAUGAAAGAGGAGAUUUGAAGAAAAUGUAAUCAAACUUCAAAUAAAAUUUGGAACUCAAAAUCUAGCAACAACAUAUACCUUGAAUUUGAGGUGAAUUGUAGAGCACUUCAUGUAAUCUUUUUAGGAACAACCACAUAUGAUUUCAAAGUUGAAAUGAGGAAGUUAUGGUUCAUUGAACCAGGUAUGCAAGAGACUCAAGAAAAUUUAAAAUGGACUUUCCAUUUUGAAAACAUACCCAAAUUUCAAAGUACAUUAUCUCCUAAUUGGAGGGAUGAUUGGUGUUAGCUAACGGGAUAGUCUCAUGGUGAAUGCAGUAGUGUGUACAUUUACAUAGUAGAAAUGAUCUACAGUGAAUCAUAAUGUAAGACUAUUGGGUAGUUUUAACUUCACCAAAGUGCUAUGUUGUAUUGUCUUUCAACUUUGAGAGAAUACUGAAUUUGAGUUAAAGUUAGUAGGGGCUUUGACUUGUGGGUGAGAUCCUAAAGUAUUAUAUAUCCCCUAUGGAUUGAGUCAUUAUUGAUGAGAAUUGAUAGUAUUAUGUAUUCUCGGUAGAGGCUUUAUGAUAUCUCAUGGACCUUGAGAUAGUGUAUUCCUUUUAGAUGAUCUUAAGGAAGUGUGUUAAUGUAAAAUAUAAUCAUCAUAGUUCCUUAAGUGGAACUUGCUAUAAGCUCUUUGUAAGCUAGGACAUUUGGGAUAAAACCCUAGAAAACAUGACAUAAUAUAAUAGAUUGAGAAAUGAAAAACCAAAAGUCCAAUAGGAAACACCAAAAGAUGUGGUGAAUUGGUGAUUUUUCAACAUUUUCAUGAGUUUUUGUCAAUUUUCAUCUUACUGAUAUUUUAUGUCAAAAUAUUCAUUGAUAUUUCCUAAUACAUUUAUAAAAUUAAGUUCUCAAUAUAUCCAUUGAAAUUGAUAUUUUCACCCUUGUAUAUAGGGUUCCCUAUAGACUUAGUAACUUGUGCUUAAAUUGGGCUUGGGUCACCUAAUUUAACCCACUUGGGUUCUAAUUAAUUAAUUAGUCCUGAUAGACUCCAAUUAAUUAAUUAACCCAACCACCAAGUCAAAAAUACGAUUCAUAAGAUCUAGUGCAAUCUUACAUUUUUAUUAAAACACCUUUAUGCACGUUUAUGAACUACAAACUCAAAUCCCUCAAAUAAAAUAUGUCAUCGUGAACUAGGGAUUCGAGUGGGGACCACUAUCACUCAUAGGAAAAUAUUGAUUCCCUUAUAAUCCAAUUUUAACUCAAUAUUCCACUAGAGGAGACAACUCUGAUCAAGUAUCCUAUGAAAUUACAAUGAGAUAAAACUCAAGUUAGUGACCUACUAUUUAUUGCAUGCAAACUCUCUAUGAACUAGUGUUCAUAAUCAUUUGGGUAGUGCUAUCAACACAUCAAGAUUACCUCUCCAAUUCUUGAGUUAUAAAUCGCCUUAUUAUGUGAUCAAUUGACAUAGCUCAUAAAGAGCACAUGCCAAAUUUUACUUAAGGAACUACUACAACCACAUGUUCCAUGAUCACAUGUCCUUUGGAUCACUAAAGGGGAUAUAUUAUCUCAAUCCCAUGAGAUAUCAUGGUGUCUUUAUCGAGAAUACCUGUUAUCAUUAGCCUUCAUCAAUAGUGAACUAAUUUAUAGGGAUAUAUGACUACAUUAGUGUCUCACCAAUAUGUUAAAGUCUUCUAUUAAUUUCAAGAUAGACUCAAUAUUCUUUGAAGGUUGAGAGUUUAUGUAAUAUAAUAGUUUAGUGAAUCAUGACAAUCUGAUAGUUUUACAUCAUGAUUCACCAUAGGCCUUAUCCAAUGUGUAACCAUACAUAUUAGUGCACUCAUAAUGGGAAACUCAUCUCAACGAUCAAGAUAAGUCAUUCGUCCAAUUAAGAGGUCGUCUACUAUAGUAUUUAUGUCUAAAUCCAUGAAUCGAUUGUGAACUACUUUCAUCUUGUAAGGAAUCCAUAACUUGUAUCUUUAUACAACUUUUAAUGCACUUAAAUCAUGAACAAUGCAAGUAAUAUGAGUCUGAAUGCUCAAAUCAAUAUCAAUGAAAAAAACAGAUAGAAAGUGAAAAGUUAAGUCUAACUUUGUUACAUCAUGUCUUGAUUUUAAAGGCCCUAUCCUAAUAUCCAUUCCACGCAUUACAUAUUAUAAGCAUUUUGAUUUAGUAUAUUUUGCAUUGUACAUGACUUGAGUGCAUUAAAAGUUGCACGAAAGAUCCAAGUCAUGGGUUCCUUGCUACUAGAUGAUUAGUUCACAACUAGUUCAUGGACUUAGGCAAUUCAUUUGAGAUUAUAGUACAUUACCUCCUACUUGAAGGGAUGAUUGAUCUUGGUCAUCAGGAUGAGGUUUCCAUGGUGAAUGCACUAUUGUGCAUGGUUACAUAUUAAAUAAAACCUAUGAUGAGUCAUGAUGUAAGACUAUUGGGUAGUCAUAACCUUACCAAGUGGCUAUACUAUAUAGUCUCUCAACCUUGAGAGAAUAUUGAGUUUAUACUGAAAUUUGUAGUGGUUUUGACCUGUAAGGGAGAUUUUAAGGUGAUCAUAUAUUCCUUAUAGAUUGGGUCACUAUUGAUAGAAGUUAGUAACAAUAAGUAUUCUCAAUAAAGACACUAUGAUAUCUCAUAGACUUUGAGACACUAUAUCCCCUUGGGUGAUCCUAAAAACAUGUGAUCAUGAAAUCUAUGGUUGUGGUAAUUUAUUAAAUGGAAUUUGACAUAAGCUUUUUGUGGGUUAAAUAUGCCAAUUGAGUACAUAAUAGGAGGAUCUAUAACUUAAGAAUGGUUCAGGUAAUCUUGAUGACAAGGUUUACAAGGGUUGUUUGAGUUCUUUUGUUCACUUGUUUGCAUAAGGGUGUUUUAGUAAAUACAUAAGAUUACAUAGGAUUUCAUUAAUGGUCUCUUUAGAUUAGGUUAAUUUAUUAAUCAAAGCUAAUUAGGUUAAUUAAUCAAUUAGGACCCAAGAUGGGCUAAUUUAAGUGACCCAAACCCAAGAUGGGCUCAAGUCGUUUAAGUUCACUAGAAGCCUAUAAAUACCAUUUCUUUAAGGUUAGGGUUUCAUCCUUUUGACAGUCUUCUUGUUCACUUAGAAACAUAAAGCUAUAACCACCAACCCCAAAGAGAGGAUUCUACCCUUUUAGUGUUAAGAUUCUAGGAGACAGUCAUUGUGGUGGAAGAUCGAUGGGUUCACGAGAUCUACAAUCACUACCACAACUUCAAAACUUUUCUUCAUUACUUAGAUUAGAUCUAGGAACAUUCAAAUCUAAGGUAAACGUUUCCAUGCUAGAUCUAAAAGUUCUAAAUGUUAUAUUUAUGUUUAUUGCUAAGAUCUAUAGAGCUUAGAAAGAAUUGCAUGCACACUAAUUAGUCCAUAAAUGAGAAUGGAGUAGUAUAAGAUUUCCCUACAGAACAAGGCAUAGGAGUUUAUCCUUUAUGUUUAUAACUUUUAUGUCUUUUCUUUUUGGAGAAUAGUAUUAAGGGAGAUGUUCCUUUUCUUACUCAUAUUUUAAUAACAUGCAUCAUUUUGCACAAUUUUCUAUUGUUAGCUAUUUUCUUCUUAUUUUUAUGCUUCUACAUCAGUUAGUAACUAUAGGGUUGUUCUAGGGAGAUGAUUGACCCAAAAUGACUUUGUACCCUUAGAAGAAUGCCUUUGAGGUGUGGCUUAUAGGAAUGUUUGUAAUAGUAUCAUUCUAGUGAUAUGCUUGACCCAAAACGACUUUGAAUCAUAAUGCAAAAGCCUUUGAGGGUUUUGGCUAGGUGUUGGUUAUGAUAGGGUGAUUUCAAGAUGAUGCUCGAAUUGAAAUGAAUUUAUUCUCUUAGCCAAAUGCCUUUGAGGGCUUGGCCAUUUGGUGCCAAUUAUGAUAGGUUCCUUUCAACAUUUCAAGAAGAUGUUCAAUCUAAAAUAACUUUAUACCCUUAAGCAAAUACUCUUGAAAGGUUUAACAGCUAGGGAGUCAAUUAUGAUAGGAUCAUUUCAAGGAGAUACUCAACUCGAAAUGGCUUUACACCCUUACAUAAAUAUUCUUGAUGGAUUAGCUACUGGGGGCUAAUUGUGAUAAGGUCGUUUGAGGGAGAUGUUUAUCUUGAUAUGACUAUGUACAAUUAGGCAAAUGUCUUUAAGGGUUGGCCACUAGGGGUCAGUUAUAAUAGGGUUAUUCACGGAGAUGCACUACUUGGAAAAUGAGAGAAAAUAGUGGGGAAGCUAUAAGGAUACCCAAAUUGAGAUAAGCAUGCCACCCCAAGAGACACGAGUAAAAAAAGGAUUAGACAACUUGAGAAUGAAAAAUGUAAAACCAUUGCCCAUUUCCAAAGCAAUGUCUGGCUUAUGAUGAUAACCUUUAUUAAUACAAGACAUAUAUUAAAGGUUAUGAACCUCAUAAUUACAACAUAUAUAUAGAGCUACAAAGCAAUUGACUUGUAACUAUCAUAAAUUGAGAGAGCAGAAUUAUGGAAUAAUUUUAUUUUCAUUCAUAUCAUAAAACUACAUUUGGUGUUAGCUUUAUACAGAAAAAUCCUAGCUAUAGAAAAGGAAACUAAUUACUAGGCUAUAUCAAAUCCCAUGAUUUAUGGGAUACUAUAACAAAAUAGGAAACUAACUAAAUUAACCUAAUUCUAGGAAUUCUGGCUGUUACAAACAAACUCUCCUAAACUAGCAUAAUUACUAUACACAACAAAAUACAAGCCAUUAAUUUACAACCAUAAUUCACGUUUUCACACACUCCCCCUCAAGCUGGUGAAUAGGUAUUCACCAUUCCCAGCUUGGAUACAAAACUUUGAAACACUAAACUACUUAGCCCUUUGGAAAGUAUAUCGGCAAGUUGACCAUGUGUAGACACAUAAGGUGUACAUAUCAAUCCACUAUCCAACUUCUCUUUGAUGAAGUGUCUGUCAAUUUCAAUGUGCUUCGUUCAAUCAUGUUGUGUCGGGUUGUGAGCUAUGCUGAUUGCAGAUUUAUUAUCACAAUAGAGUCUCAUUGUGCCAUCCCAUUUAAUCUUUAAGUUUUCUAAAACGAUCUUCAACCAUAGUAGUUCACACACACCCUGAGCCAUUGCUCGGAAUUCAACCUCCGCACUAGAUUGUGCUACCACAUUUUGUUUCUUACUCUUCCAUGUUAUGAGAUUUCCACCAAGAAAGGUGCAAUAUCCAAAGGUUGACCUUCUGUUAAUAAUUGAGCCAACAUAAUCAGCAUCUGUGUAUGCCUCAAGUACUAACCCUUCAUUCCUUUUGAACAGAAUACCUUUACCUAGUGUCCCUUUGAGAUAUUGUAACACUCGAUAAGCUGCCUACAGAUGAGCUUCCUUUGGACUAUGCAUGAAUUGUCUAAUCACACUCACUACAUAUGCUAUAUCUAGUCAUGUAUGAGAUAGAUAAAUGAGUCUUCCCACCAAGUGUUGAUACAUUUUUUUAUCUAUUGUAGCAUCCUUUUCUGUCUCUCUAAGUCUAAGAUUUGGAUCUAUCGGAGUACUUGCUGGUUUGCAUGCCGUCUUGCCAGUUUCUUUGAGAAGAUCUAUAACAUACUUCUGUUGGGAGAUAAAAAUGCCUUGCUUAGAGUGAGCCACCUCAAUACCAAGAAAAUAUUUCAACCUCCUUGUGGACCCGCAUUUUUCACGUGCGUCCCCACUCGAUCGGCGAGACUCGCUUUUUAUUUAUUUGUGAAAAUUUGAUUUUUUGAAAAAAAGUUGGAGUCGCCACUUAUUUUAUUUUUAUUUUUGAAGGGAAAAUAAAACAAGAAAUAAAACCCUAAAAAAAAUGACUCCAUAAUUUUUGGAAAAGCGUGUCUUUGAAAACCCAAGUCUUGGUCCGGGGAUCAGGUUACUUAUUGGGAAGGUACCUCUAGGAGGUAGCACCCCUCUAAGCCCUAAAGAGGUCUCUACUAAUUAAGUUAAGGGGAAUAUGACAAUUAAUCGGUUAAUUAUGGAUACCUAAGUAGGCUAGGUGAUUUCAAAAAAUUUGCAUGCUAAACAAGAUCAAAUUGCCAUAAAAGAAAGGUUAGGAUGCGUACCCGGACCGCUUCUCAAGCGCUAUCAUAAAACAUCAGAGUUAGUAUAGAAGUAUAACACACAACAUGUAUUUAAUCAUAGUGAAUCAAACAUAUAUCUAAACACCUAAGGAUUAUCAAACAUAUGCAUACUUCAUAGUGACACGAUUGUUUACAAAAUUUAGAAAGUAGGCGAUAGGGGGGGCGUACCUGGAUAGCAUAAAUAACUUACAAUGCGCUCCCAUAAGACAUGAGGGAUUAGAUAAUAAUAAAAUAAAGAAACCCUAGCAUGCUUGUUAUCUAAUUAGCAUAACAAAAAUUAUCAAAGUAUAUGAAAACAUUAAUUAUCACACACAUCUUAUAUACAAUUCCUAAAAAAGAUAGACAUAAUUUCAACAAGUGACAAAAAUGGCAACAAAAAUAAUUUUUGAAAAGAUUUUCUUAUGUAGGGGUUUCACCAAUUCCCCAAUUGAUAUAUACGAAUUUAGCCCAGAAUCAUCCCAUUAUUUGGGACCACAAGCUUUGAUUCGUGUUUUUGUUCAAAACCAAAAUUUUUGUUGAAAACCGAGAAGGAUGCAAACCAAACAAGAUAUGGUUGCAUAUUAUUUUUAAAUAAUAAAAAAAAAAGAGAUUUUGAUCCUGAGGACUCUAAAUGAGUUUUUGAAAUAGAUUUUUAAAAUGAUUUUUUUGAGAAAAGUAUUUUAUUUUAAAAUAAAAGGAAUUAAUUUGGAAAAAAUAAAAUAUAAGAAAUAAAAUACCCAACAAAACAAAAAUGAAACCUCAAAGUAAAAUUUUUUUAGUAAUUAACAAAAAUGAUAAUGGUGAUGGUAGAGGCCAAUCUUCAUGAUUUUCCAAUGGCCUUUGAACAAAAAGGAAACUAUCAAAGCAAUAAAUUAUUAAUAUUUAGAUCAAAUAAGCUAAUGAAAUAUCCAUCAAGAAUUAGCAACAAGGAUUCAAGAAGCGCAUAAAUUGAGAAUAACAAUCCAUAAUUAACAUAAGAUUAACUAAACACAUAAAUGCCUCUAGACUAAAAAAAUAAAUUAAAUCAAGAUUAAACUUUAUCUAAUGGGAUUAAUUAAACUAAUGUAUUCAAAUCACAAACACAUACAAGUGAAGAACAAAUUAAAACUAAAUUAAAUUGUAAUUAAAAACAUGAACUUUAUUUAAUAAGAUUAAUUAAACUACUAAAUUACAAUUACAAACACAUCCAAAUUAAAAAUAAAUAAAAGCUAAACUAAAUCGGAAUUUCAAAUAUGAACUUUAUCUAACAAGAUUAUUUAAACUAAUGAAUUAAAAUCACAAAUAUACUUAAACUAAAAGAUAGGUUAAAACUGAACUAAUUUAGAAUUAAAAAAAUAUAAACUUUAUCUAACAUGAUUAUUUAAACUAAUAAAUUAAAAUCACAUACAUAUUUAAACUAACAAAUAAAUUAAAAAUAAACUAUUUUGGGAUUAAAAACAUGAACUUUAUCUAACAUAAUUAUUUAAACUUAAGGAUUAAGAUCAACUAAUGCAUUUAAACUAAAAACGAAUUGAAAUCAAACUAAUUGAGAUUAAAAACACAAACUUUAUUUAACGUGAUUAUUUAAAGUAAAGAAUUAAAAUCAACAAAAUACAUUUAAACUAAAAACAAAUUAAAAUCAAAUUAAUUGGGAUUAAAAAUACAAAAUUUAUUCGAUAUGAUUAUUUAAACUUAAGAAUUAAGAUCAACAAAAUGUAUUUAAACUAAAAACGAAUUGAAAUCAAACUAAUUGAGAUUAAAAACACAAACUUUAUUUAACGUGAUUAUUAAAAGUCAAGAAUUAAGAUCAACAAAAUAUAUUUAAACUAAAAAAUGAAUUGAAAUCAAAUUAAUUGGGAUUAAAAAUACAAGCUUUAUUUAACGUGAUUAUUUAAAACAAAGAAUUAAGAUCAACUAAUGCAUUUAAAUUAAAAAUGAAUUAAAAUCAAACUAAUUGGGAUUAAAAAUACAAACUUUAUUCAAUACAAUUAUUUAAACUUAAGAAUUAAGAUCAACAAAAUACAUUUAAACUAUAAACGAAUUGAAAUCAAAUUAAUUGGGAUUAAAAAUACAAACUUUAUUUAACGUGAUUAUUUAAAACAAAGAAUUAAGAUCAACUAAUGCAUUUAAAUUAAAAAUGAAUUGAAAUCAAACUAAUUGGGAUUAAAAAUACAAACUUUAUUCAAUACAAUUAUUUAAACUUAAGAAUUAAAAUCAACUAAUGCAUUUAGAUUAAAAAUGAAUUGAAAUCAAACUAAUUGGGAUUAAAAGUACAAACUUUAUUCAAUACAAUUAUUUAAACUUAAGAAUUAAAAUCAACAAAAUACAUUUAAACUAAAAAAACAAGUUAAAAUCAAACUAAUUGGGAUUAAAAAUACAAACUUUAUUCGAUAUGAUUAUUUAAACUUAAGAAUUAAGAUCAAUAAAAUGUAUUUAAACUAAAAACGAAUUGGAAUCAAACUAAUUGAGAUUAAAAACAUAAACUUUAUUUAACGUGAUUAUUUAAAGUCAAGAAUUAAGAUCAACAAAAUACAUUUAAACUAAAAAACAAAUUAAAAUCAAACUAAUUGGGAUUAAAAAUACAAAAUUUAUUCGAUAUGAUUAUUUAAACUAAAGAAUUAAGAUCAACAAAAUACAUUUAAACUAAAAAACGAAUUGAAAUCAAAUUAAUUGGGAUUAAAAAUACAAACUUUAUUUAACGUGAUUAUUUAAAACAAAGAAUUAAGAUCAACUAAUGCAUUUAAAUUAAAAACGAAUUGAAAUCAAACUAAUUGGGAUUAAAAAUACAAACUUUAUUCAAUAUGAUUAUUUAAACUUAAGAAUUAAAAUCAUUAACAAACUUAAACUAAAAGAUAGAUUAGAAUUAAACUAAUUGGGGAUUUAAAAAGAAAAAAAUAUAAACUUUAACACAAAGAAUUAAUCAAAAACUAAAAUUUCCAAAAAAAAAAAAAAAUCUAGGCUAAAUAAAAGUACUAUAUAGAAAACUAACCUUUGAAGUGAAAGAGAAAAUCCUCUCUUGAUGAUUAAAUGACAGCCCUAUCUCCGUUCGAAGUCCCUUGCUUUUUUCCAAAAUUCCGUGUGCUUUGCCCCCCAAGAAAAAUCUCAUCUUCUUUUCCUUUUCUCACCUAUAUAUAUCACCCCUCAAGACCUAAAUUUGUUUCCAAAAAGGAAAAUUCUCCUCCUUCCUUUCUUCUUCUCUUCUUUUUUUAAAUCCUCCAAUCAAAAGCAAUCUUCCCAAUUUCAAAUUCCCCUCCAAAACCUUCCAAGGAGAGUCCCAUCUUCCUUAAACUCCAAUGGUAAGUUUCCUUGCAAAAACAUGAAAUUUUUGAAGUUAAAUAAUUGCAUGUAUAGAUAAAUAAGUAAAUAAAUUAAAAAAUGGUAAAAAUAAUAAAUAAAUAAAUAAGUUAAGGAAAAUAAUAUAAAGAGGAAGAUAACCAAUAAAAAGUGAAUGAUAAUCAUAAAAUUAAAAUUAAAAACAAAAUAAAUAAAUAAAUAAAUAAAAUAAAAUAAAAUAAAAUAAAAGUCUUCGUAGGCCUAGUGUGCCUAAACGGGCCUAAGGUGAGACUAAGUGGGCCUAGGGUAGUGCCUAAUGGGCCAAGUGUAUCUAAAAGCUAUCCUAAAAAAACAAGAAAAGCCUAAGUCUAAGUUAGGGCUGCCAAGGGUCACAAUAAGGGAUCAAAUAAUCCCUCAACCAAAAUCUCCGAGGUGACUCAGAAAAAGGUAAGUGGUAUGAGUAGCCAUGGGCCACCAAGGAACUAUUGUGGAGCAUUGAAAAUGAAUUUUAAAGACAUGUGCUAAAGGGACAAAAUUGAGGGUCUACACUCCUUAACGCCUUGAUCUCAAAUUUCUUAGCCAAACAUUGAUUUAGAACUUGUCUCUCCUUGUCAUUAUUUCCUGUCACUAUUAUGUCAUCGACAUACACCAAGAAAGCUGUGAGUCCUCCUGAAGAUGAGUGUUUAAUGAACAACGUAUGAUCUCCUUGACUUUGCCUAUAUCCCAUGGUUAUCAUCACUCUUACGAAUCUUCCAAACCAUGCUCGUGGUGAUUUCUUAAGUCCGUACAAGGCCUAUUUUAAUUUACAUACAAUAUGAGCAGCUAAAUUAUUGUCAUAACCUGGCAGGACCUCCAUAUAAAUUUCUUCCUCUAGUUCUCCAUGAAAAAAAAGCAUUCUUGACAUCAAAUUGCUGUAAAUCCCAAUUGUUAUUAGCUGCUAAUGACAACAAGACUCUAAUAGUGUUCAUCUUUGCAAUCGGAGCAAAAGUUUCUUGGCAAUCAAUCCCAUAGGUUUGAGUAUAACCCUUGGCAACCAAUCUAACCUUGUAUCUUUCAAUUGAUCCAUCUGCUCUGUAUUUCACAGUAUAAACCCAUUUACAUCCCACGGGUUUCUUUCCUGCCGACAAUUUUACCAACUCCCAAGUUUUGUUUUUUUUUAAUGCCUCCAUCUCCACAUUCAUAGCUUGUUUCCAUUUUUCAUUGGUCAAAGCCUCGGAUACGGUGGUAGGGAUAGAAAUAGUGUUUAGGCUGACAAGGAAGGCUCUAUGAGAUGGUGAAAUUUUUUUAAAGGAUAGGAAGUGUGUAAAAGGGUAUAGAGGUCGAUUUGUGCAUUCUUUAAUCCAUUUCCUAACAACAAUAGGGAGGUCCUGGUCAUCAUUAUUCACAUAAGAUUCCGAUUGCAAUGAAGGAUUAGAAAUUGUUACCUCAUUCUCAGAAUUUGGGUUGAAGUCUUGGAUUUGCACAGAUUCAGGGACAAUUGUCUUCUUCCUCGAAAACACUUUGUCAAAUCUCACAUUCUCAGGGGCAAAUUUUGGAUUUUAAGGCACAAGUUCAGGCUGAUUGGGCAAUUUAGGUAAGGUUUCAAUCAAAGGAUCAGUGGGACGAGAUUGUUUUAACAAAGGAAGUGAUGACAGAUCAAGGAAUAAAAAACCCCCAUAUCCUUAUCUUCCAUUACUGAAUUCUCCCCCUGAAGAUAAGGAAUGGUGAAAUAAGAUUCUUGUUCAUGGAAAGUAACAUCUACCGAGACAGAGAAUAUUUUUUUAUGGAGGAUGGUAACACUUAUACCCUUUCUGAGUUGAAGAAUAACCCACAAAAACACAUUUUAAUGCACGUGGAUCUAACUUCCCUCUGUUUUGAUUAUGAACAUGGACAAAUGCCACAAACCCAAAUAUCAUAGGAACAAGAUUAUUUGUAGUGUGUAGGUUUGGAUAGAAUGUUGAAAGUAUGUCCAUUGGACUCUUGAAUCCCAAGAUCCUAGAAGGUAAUCUAUUUAUGAGAUAAGCAACUGGAAGAACUGCUUCUCCCCAAAAGGAUUUAGGCACAUAUUUCUGAAAAAUGAAGGAUCGGGUUGAGUCAAGAAGGCGACCGUUUUUUUCUUUCUGCCACUCCGUUUUUUUGUGGAGUGUUAACACAAGAUGACUCAUGUAUUAUUCCUUCCCUCUGAAAGUAUGGAGUUAGGAUUUGAUUGAAAUAAUCCGUAGCAUUAUCUGACCUAAAUCUUUUGACAUUGACUCCAAAUUGAGUCUUAAUCAUAGAACAAAAAUUUGGAAGGACGGUACUGACAUCAAAUUUAUGUUUGAGCAAAAAAAUCCAAGUGACUCGAGUACAAUCAUCAAUGAAUGAAACAAACUAUUUAGCCCCAGUAAUGUUAGGAAUAGGAGAAGGACCCCAAAUGUCAUUGUGUAUGAGAUAAAAAAGAAUAGAACUUCUUUUAUUGCUAAUUGGAAAAGACACAUGUUUGUGUUUAGCAAGUUAACACGCUUCAUAAUGAAAAUGUUCGAUGUCUAGACCUUUAAAUAAAGAAGGAAACAAAAUUUUAAUAACCCUAAAUGAUGGAUGUCCAAGUCGGCGAUGAUGAAACCAAAUUUUUUUUUAUUGAAUGAAAAAACUUCUGAGACAAAAGAAUGAGAUGAUUUGCCUUUGGUAAUUUUGAUUGACUUGGUGCUUUGAGAUAGUAGAGUCCAUCCCGUUCUCUAUCAUAUCCAAUCAUCCUCCCCGAAUCCUCGUCCUGAAAUACACAAUGACUAUGAUAAAAAACCACAUUGCAAUGUAAAUCUUGAGUGAGUUUUUGGAUAGAAAUGAGGUUCGUGGUUAACCUAGGGACGUGAAAAACAUUUUUUUAACAUUAGUGAUGGGCUUAUUUUGACAUCUCAUAUACCUGCUACAGUGGUCAAGGAGCCAUCAGCUGUGGCUAUUUUUCUACUGCUUGAACAUGGGAAAUAUGUGGAAAAAAUGUUUGGUGAAUGAGUCAUAUGGUCGAUAGCAUCUCAGUCAAUGACCCAGGAGUUGGCAAAGGUUAUAUCCGAGACAUUUAAUCCAAUAGAGAAUGGAAACUUACCUUAAUACGCCAAUAAACCAGUACCUACUAGUUUGUCAAGGUUGCAAAUAAGAGACCUCACCCUCUCAACUUCUUCUUGAUUAAGACUGCCUAUCUCUUGCGAUGUUGCUUCAUUCUGUUGUACUAUUGUAACAUGGGCCUGACCAUUAUUACUUGGUUGUUCUCCAUUUUGUCCCCACUCUCGACUUGGUGGUUUUCCAUGUAGUUUCCAGCACCGCUCAUGGGUAUGGCGUGCCUUCUUACAAUAAGUGCACCAUAAGUUGUCCUUAUAGUCACGAUUUUGAGUCUUUGGUUGACUAGAUCUUCCAUUUCCAGAAACUAGUACUCUUUCCAUAUUUGUGGCUAAAUUGUUACCACUGCCAACCACUAUAGUCGAGCUGUCCGUGUUAUGUGGAUUAAGCAUCAGGCAUCUUCUGCUUUCCUCUCCUCGAAUUAAUGCCACCACCUUAUUAAAGCACAGAACUUCUUGCUUGCCAAGAAUCUGGAUUCGCACUUGGUCAAAUUUUGGAUUGAGUCCAACAAGAAAAUCAUAAACUCGAUCUUGUUCUAUGAAAUCCUUGAGAAUAGCAGCAUCUUCGGGACACUUGGUCUUUAUCACCCUAUAAUGAUCAAGUUAUUGUCGUAAAGAUUUCAAUUGAUUAGCAUACUCAGUAACAGUUUUAUCUCCCUGUUUAGCAGCAACAAUUUUCACCUUGAUCUCGUAUGCUUGGGUCGCAUUUCUCGCCUUAGAGUACGUUUGUUGGAUCGCAUCCCAAAUGUCUUUGGCAGUAGCUAGGAACAUGCAUGUGUCACUGAUUUUAGGAAUCAUAGAAUUCCACAGCCAUGCCAUAAUCAUGGAGUCUUCUUCAUCCCAUGUUUCAAAAUGAGGAUCUCCUAGUUUCGGCCCUGUACCCAUAAGAUGGCUGAUCUUCCUUUUCCCUUUCAACACGGUGCGAACAAGUUAGGACCAUUUCAGAUAAUUUUUUCCAUUUAGCCUAUAUGUAGUCUGGAUAUUCUACAAUUCUCCGGAAUGUUGGGGUCGAAUAAUCUCCUCUGAUUGGGCUGUAGCGGUUGUUUAUGCAAUCUCUGACAUUUUUUUACAAAAAAAAAACGGCAAUUUCUAGGUGAUUCAAGCAAAGCACGUAGGUCAACAAUAGACAGUGUUGAAGGUCAAGAGAUCAGAUUGACAAUGAAGGCAAAAAAAACAAAUGAAUGGCAAUGAAGGCUAAGAAGAAAAUGAAAAUUCCAAGAGAUGAAACAAAUGCUCGGUUUUGAGUUUCAAAAACAGAAGAAAAAUAGGGCACUGUAUUCAACAAUGAAGGCCAAAACAAAAUAAAUUCCAAGGAUCCUAAUUUAGCUCUGAUACCAUGUCGUAAAUUGAGAGAGCAGAAUUAUGGAAUAAUUUUAUUUUCAUUCAUAUUAGAAAACUACAUUUGGUGUUAGCUUUAUACAGAAAAAUCCUAGCUAUAGAAAAGGAAACUAAUUACUAGGCUAUAUCAAAUCCCAUGAUUUAUGGGAUAUUCUAACAAAAUAGGAAACUAACUAAAUUAACCUAAUUCUAGGAAUUCUGGCUGUUACAAACAAACUCUCCUAAACUAGCAUAAUUACUAUACACAGCAAAAUACAAGCCAUUAAUUUUCAACCAUAAUUCAUGUUUUCCCAUAGUAACCAACACCUAUAGCACACUAAUAAGGUGCAAAAUGACUUAAAGUGCUUAAUUAGUGGCAUAGUCAAACUUAACCAAACAAUAUGAACAAUAUGCUAUAAAAAUCAUUCAACUAGAGAGAAAAAGGUCUGUUGAAUUUGAAACUUUACUCAUUCUCAAUCAAAAGUUGUGGACUAAUAGGGAUGACAUUAUGUUGAGCUUAUAUGAGCACAUGAAUUGUGAAGUUGUAGUAAGUUUGUCAGUCUUUUGUCGAAAUUAUACAAAGUGCAACUUGUGAGCCAUGGAUUGAUGGGGAUGAUGAUAUAUCAAGCUUAUAUGAGAGAGUGAGUUGUAAAAUUGUUCACAGUAAAUAAUAUCUACGAAAAGCCAAAUACUUUCUAAGUCGAAUAUUAGGUAAUGAGGAAUGUCAUUAUACUGGGCUUCGUAUAAACAAUGAUUAAAAUGUUAGGAAUUAAGGUUUGAAAGAAAAUAUUGCAUGGAUAAUCUAUGAUGUGGAAAGGCGACAAAAAAAUCACAGAUUAAUCCACAUUUUAUGGACAAUAAAUCCAGAAAAAAAAAAAAAGUCAAAUGAUUGAGCCUAUGUAGGGGUAAAAAAGUGAUGCUAAAUCAAUGAAAUAUUGGCAAUUUUUUUUUGCCCUUUUCUCCAAAAAAAUAAAAAAUAAAAAAAUAAAAAAGGGCUAAAGGUAAUAUUCCUGCAUUCAAGGGCCAAAUUUCCUUUAUAUGUGAUCCAACCGUCAUAAACAAUUCCCAAUUGCUAUUUCUAUGAUCUAACAACUAGAUUUCAAUAUGGAUGUGAUUCAAUGGUAAAAAUUUUGUAACUGCUAACCAACUUUCCAAUGACCCAUUUUGGCCUUUUUUUUUUUUUGUUAACUAUAAGUACCUCAUUUUCAUCCUAUUAUAUAUCAAAAAUUCACUUGCAAUCCUUAAUGCUUUCAUACUACUCUAAUUUGUUUUUAUUUUAUAUUUUUAUUUUAUGUGAUUCCUCUUAAAAUUUAAUUUUUAUAAUUUUUUAUGAUCCUUAAAUGUAUAUAUAAAAAAAAUUAUUUAUUUCACAUUUGUAUUGAAUGCAUAUUUUCAAAAUUGUUAUAUAUAUAUAUAUAUAUAUAUAUAUCAUUUUCUAAGUUUUUAUUUAUAUUUCUAUAAAUUUUGAUCAAUAUUCAUGUUAUUUAUAUUUUUAAUCUUAAUUUCUAUCCGAUAUUCUCCAUAUUUCUUGAUAAUAUCUAACUAUUAAAACUAUGAACUUUUAUAUAUAUAUGAACUUAUGUAUAUAUAUGAUUUUCAAAGUUUUUUUUUGACAUUUCUAUAAAUUUUGAUCAAUAUUCGUGUAAUUUAUAUUUAUAAUCUUAAUUUCUAUCCUAUAUUCUCCAUAUUUCUUGAUAAUAUCUAACUAUUAAAACUAUGAACUUUUAUAUAUAUAUGAUUUUCAAAGUUUUUUUUACAUUUCUAUAAAUUUUGAUCAAUAUUCGUGUUAUUUAUAUUUUUAUUCUUAAUUUCUAUCUAAUAUUCUUCAUAUUUCUUGAUAAUAUCUAACUAUUAAAACUAUGAACUUAUAAAAGAAUUUAAUACUUUAAAUCUCUAUUUAAAGUUAAAGCAAAAAAAAAAUUAAAAAAAUUAAAAUAAAAUCUUGAAAAAGUUUCUAAAUAUCAAUUUUAUUUUGAUUGUGUGGUGAGGUGUUGUUGUCUUGGUUGAGAGAGGGUUAAUUAUUAUGACUGUCGUUGCUAUCCAAUUAAUAAAAUUCCUUUAAGGGCAUUAACCUCAAUGUUAAUGUCUUUUUUUCCCUUUUAAAUGAAUAUCAACAACAAUUUUUCCAUAAAUAAGGCGGUGGCCUUUCUCUGGAGUAUUGAAAGUGUGAGCCAACCAUUUAAGCACAUCAAAUUUCCCAUAAAGAUGGUGCUCUCUGUUCAAAAUGUGACCCCACCUUUCAACAUUGGCAGUCCAUAAUGCAUUCCCCUUUUAGGGUGGUGGGUUUGGAAACCUUGUCAUCUCUCUCAAUCUACCAACCUAUACAAACAAGUUAUUGCUCUAUAAUUCAUACAUGAGACAAUUAUGUAGAUAAAUAUGAUAAUCGCCUAACGUAACGCACACAAAAUGUGUAAAGGAUACGAUUUUUUUAUAAUGCCAAAAUACGUAAAGAAUAAGAAAAUGAUAUAAAAUGAAUUUAUAUUGUAUCAUUUAUAAUAUACCUUACUUUUUUUUUUUCUUUGGGCUUAUAAUUUUCUUAGGGAUUUAUUUUUUAAAAUGAUAAAAAUAAAUAAAUUAAACCCGUAGAAAGUAAAAUCUUAAUUUGAAAAAUUCAUUUAAUAUAUAACUAUAAAUUAUUUUUAAAUGAUUUCAACAUGAUUUAUAAAAAUAGUAAAAAAAAAAAAGACAAUUAUUGCUCUCUUUCAAGGAUAAAAUUGCAGAUAUUUCAUCAUGUUGUCCCAUUUCAAGAAUAAAGAUAAAAGAAAUAAUUAAUUUUAAUUAUUAUACCAUUAUUUAAUAAUAAUUUAUCAUAUGAUUGAGUUUUUAUCCACCUAAAAAUAAAUUAAGACAAAUAUUAAGAAGGGGGGAAAAAAUAGGGAGGUUCGGCCAAUAAAGCCAGAAAUGGGACCCACGAGCCUGUGGUCGUGCUUCAAAGUUUAAUUAGAAAAAAGGACACAUGGCGAGCCCACAACUACAGAGACGGCUGUGUCCAAUGAUGUGAUCUGCCGUAUGGCCUCUCCUCUUCAAAAAGUAAAUACCCACAUUUGUAGAAUUUGAUGAACUGAAAAAAUUGGUAGAAACUCAACAAACAAAGGGUCUUAAUCAAAACACGUUUCAUUUAGUUGGAUUGGGCAUCUCAACUAAGCGUUACAUUUAUAUAAUAUAGUAUUGGGCUUUAUUUUCAAUGAUUAUGUAUAUGGGAUCCCACCGACACAAUUCUCUGGUAAUUGACAAGAAUAUACGGUUACUUAAACUUGGUAAGUUGCAGUUCAAACUAUGUCAUCAAUGAUAAAGAUUUGUUUGGACUCCCUUCAUUCAAUGGUCGCAGUGAGGGAUGCUACUGACUACCGAAUAAGUAAUAAAUAAUUAAUCAAUAAUUAAAUAGCAAACAAGGACUAUGAGGCUGAAAAUACUUGAAGGGGCAUGGUUGUAAAAGUCUUAGCCGAGUGGGAGAGAGAAAGAGAAGAGGCGGCUGGAGCCGAGUGGGAAGUGGGGGUGGCUAUUGGCUAACAAGUAGAGUGUCGGUGUCUGACCAUUGAAGAAAUGGCCUCAUUUCUACGCCAAGCCUUGCAUUGUUUCAUAUUUUAUUAUUUUAAGGAGGAGUGACGAGAGCGUUCCUCAAAACGGCGACGUUUCGCCCACCGGAAGAUCCUUUGUCGCUCUCACACUUCUUUCCUCAUUAACCAGACUUUGGCAUUUGGCAUAUGGGGUUGGGUUUCUUGGAAUAAACACACUCUGCUCUCGCCCACUCCCCACCCUCUGGUCGGUGGCUCGUUUUUUUUUUUUUUUUUUUUAAAUAAAAUAAAAUAAAAUGUGAUAAAUGCUAGUAAUCGGAGAAAUUGAUACUAUUUUUUUUUAUCGCAAACAUGCUUAUAUAUUACCAACAAUUAAAAAAAAAAUAAAAAUAGAGAGAGAGAAAGAGAGAGAGAGAGAGAAUAACUUUCUAGAAACAUCCACAAAAUUUUUUUUAAAAAAAUUAAAAAAUAACCGGUGAAAGGUUUGUUUGUGUGACUCAUUUUUACAUGCUUGGACAUUUCUUGAACUUAAUUUUUACACAAUGAUACAAUGAUACAUGGAUAUUUUGCCUUUAAAGCAAAGUUGCCCCAACUCCAUAUUUUGACCUACCACACCAACUUCAACAAUUAACAUCCAUCUGUGAAAUUUAGAGGUCUUUUGAAAAUAUCAUUUACAAUUGACUUUUUCUCCGGUUGCGGUAAUUUAUUAAUUCAAGUCUUGGUGCUGUUUGUUUUUUUUGUUUUUUGUUUUCUGAAUUUAGGUUAUUUAUUUUUCUAUUUUUUUUAUAAUUUAUUAUAAACUUUUUACUAAAUAGAAAAAGCUAAAAUAUGUAGUUUUUUUUUAAAUAGAAAAAAUAAUAUAUUGAUUUUUCUUUACUUUUUAAUACUUAAUAGAAAUAAAAUAUUAUAAAAACAAACAACCUAAUAUUUAAUAUUAUUAAAUAUUAAAGUUCUAUUUAAAAUUAAGUAAAAAAAAAAAACACCACCUAAUGUUUUACAUGAAUUUGUGAUUUUGUAACAUUAAAUUAGGAGUCGUGCUAAGAUGAUGUGGGUAUAAAUAAAUGGAGUUUAAUCCAAAAUACAAAUAAUAAAAAUCACACAAAUAUAUAUAUAUAUAUAUAUAUAUUUAUGAAAAAGUUAUUUUUUUUUAUGUUGUAAACAAAGAGGUCCGAGUAUUUACAUCAAGAAGACAAUUUCAAAUUUAAAAAGAAUAGUAAUUUUGAUAAUGAAAAUAAUAGGAAAAAAAACAACUUUUAGGGUGCCCAAAAUUAUAAUAAUUGAAAACACACUACUCACAACAUAAAGAGUUUUGGGUCAAAAUGACCCAUUUAUAUAAAAAAAAUAUCGGAUGUAACUACUUUAUGAAACUUAUAUUCAAAUUAAUCUCUUUUGUGCCACGUAGGAGUUGUCAUAGAAAUAUAUAUAUUUUUUUUCAAAAUUUUACUUAAAGCCUCAAUUGACAAUUGAUGCUUAAUUUUUGAAUUGAAAUUGCAGUUACCAACUGAGGUUUCAGUUUUUAAACUAAAACUGCAAUUGUCAUGUAACACCUAGUACUAAUGAAUUAAAUAGACCAUAAUGAUUAUCUUAGUACUUAACUUUAAGCAUGCUUAAUUAGAUGUUAAAACUAAUUUAGUGCUAAUCUUGUUUAAUUAUAAAUUAAACUUUGAUUAAGGUUAAGUGAGAUUAGUUAAUGACUUAAGCAUGUUUAUUAGAGUCUUAGGGGCUGAUUAGGGUUAUGAAAACUUAAAGGACUAAUGGGCAAUUAUGGGUUUUAUUUUUUAUAACUUGAAGGACUAAAGUGCAAAAUAUGGAAAUUGGGAGUUAGUGGAAUGCCACCUCCUACUUAGGUGGAUUGGUGGCAGCCAUGUGGGCUGCCACCUCAUGCUUGGCUGCAUGGAGACUCCUUUAUAAGGGGGCUGCAACUCGUUUUCCACCAUUUCACUUGCAGCAACUUGGGUUAGAGAGAGAAUCUAGAGAGAGAAAGUGUAGAUUUGAGGUAAGCAAGUUGUUAAUUUUGUAAUUUUCGUUUAUUUUGGUUCCUAAUGGUAUGUUGAAGAGAAUUAAGUGUAAAGUUUGUGUAAAAGUUUAGUUUAAUUAGCUAUAAAUAUGUUUUAGUUAAAAAUCACAAUUAAUUAAGGAUUAAAGUAUUUUAACUUAAGUAUUUUAUUAAUGGUAAGAUAAGCAUAAAUCUUUGUUUAAUUUGGUUUGAUUGAAAAAUAGAUUAGUAAACAUGUGAUUAAUUAGGUUAUUUGGAUACUUGGGAUUUGUUAAUGGGUUAGGCUUUAAGAAAAUCAAAAUAGUUAGUGUUUGGUAAUUAAUUAGGGAAAUUAAUAUGCAUUGUAAAUAUUGUUUAAUUCAAUUCAAAUUUGAUUUGAAAACCUAAAAGUAUAUAGAUUAGAGAAUAUGAGAAUUAAAAAUUAGCAACAGUAAACUGUAUAAAUUUUCAUGGUUAAGAAACCUAAAUUAUGUUGUUUUAUUUCAGUUCCUCGUAAUAGACAAAGAUCGCCUACGUAAAAGAAACACAAAAAGGAAAUUGGUGUAAGGUAGGGAAUUUUAUGCUAUUCUAUGGUGUAUCUGAUUUCUUUCCUUGAAUCAUUUGUUGGAAUUUCGCGUUAUUUUUAUGAUUUCAUAAAAUGUUUUAAUGUGUCAUUGCAUCUCAGUUUAUUGCAUUGAAAUGUUACUAUGAUAUUGGAACGUAUAUUGAUAUGAAGAUUCAUGGUUUUGUGUUGUUGAAAUGGUUCAUGGUGUGGUUGCAUUGCAAGAAGGAUAUGAAAUUAUCACAGAUGAUAUUAAGAGAAUUGAUUGGUGGGAAGUUUUUAUGUGAUGCCACAGGCAUUAUCAUUUGAUAUAUUGUUUAUGUGGGACCGUGGGUCCUUGGGUGAAAGUCCCUAAAGCCCUUGAGGAAGACACUCCGAUGUAGGUGUAUGGGGUUGGUCCUACCCUUGGGUUUUAGUCCCUAAAGACACAAGGUCGGUCCUGCCAUUGGGUAUGAGUCCCAAAAGACACGGGGUAUGACUUGCCCUUUGGUGAUGUCCUAGAAUAGUCAUUAUUAUAUUGAUCGAGUAUCUUGUGGAGCAUUGAUAUAUGAUGUAUAGAUUGUUGGGGGUCAGCAGUUUAUCAAUUGUGAAAUGAUGGAUGAGGAAAAGCAAAGAUGAAACCAACAAAUACAUGCAUACAUGUUUGACAUGAUUACACAUUUGUUAAUGGUUAUAAAAUGUUUAUCAUGCAUGCUAUGAAACGUUUAAUUCAAGGUUUUUAAGGGUAUGCUUAGGAUGGUUAUAAACUUUCCUACUGAGUUGUGAACUCACCCUAUUCCUUCCACCUUUAGAUGCACGUUAGAAGACCUAUGCACGAAAUAAUGCUUGAGCAAUGCUUUACUGUGAUUGGGUGUUGUUUGCUCGCAUUGAAAGUCUUUUGAGGCCUUGCCUUUUGUAUCAAGACUGAAUCUUUUUGUAGGAAUGAUGUAAUAUAUAUAUUUGUCAGGUACACUUGUAGUAUAGGCUACCCGUAGUGAACAAUGGGGUUUUGGUAUAUGUAAAUUAAUGUAGUAGAAGUUUCUUUUAAGAAACGAACCAUAUUUUGUUAACUACAAGUUACAAAGUUUAAUACAGGAUGUACUCCUUCUCCUUAUAACAAGUUUUGCAUACUCUUUUUGCACAAAAUCAAGCAGGAACUCAACAUUUAAAUUUUUUAGAGCAGUUAUACUGUAUUUGAGUAUCAAUUGUUUAGUUUGAAGAAUAACAAAAAAAAACAAAAAACCGGGGUGUGACAUGUCAAUUGAGAUUUCAUUUUUUUAAUUGAAGGCUUAAUUGGUAACUAAGUCUUCAUUUUUGAACUAAAGCCUUAAUUGUCAACUAAGGCUUAAGUUAUUAUAUAUUUUUUACUUUAAAAUUUAAUUAAAAACUAUUAAAUUAUAAUUUAUUAUUGAAAUUAAAAAUAUAUAAUUUAAUAAUAAAUUAUUUAUAUUUAAGCUUAAGAAUCUAAUAUUACUUCAACAAACAUAAAUUGAUAAAUAGAAGAUAUUAUAAAUCAAUAUUUUAUUUAUUAAUAAAUUAAUAAUAUUAAAAUAAUAAAUUUAUAUAACAUAUAAAUAAGAUAUAAAAUUAUAUAAUUUAUUAAUUUAAGAUAUUUAAUUUGUUGUUUUUAAAAUAUUAUUUUAUUUAUAUUAUGACAAAUGUAUUUUUAUCGAAAUAAUAGUAUACUCCUAAGUCACAAUUGCCAAUUGAGGCUUCAAUUAAUAUAUAUAUAUAUAUAUAUAUAUAUAUAUAUAUUUACUUUCAAAUUUAAUUAAAAACUAUUAGAUUACAACUUAUUAUUGAAAUUAAAAAUCUAGUAUUACUUCAAUAAACAUAAAUUGAUAAAUAUAAUACAAUAAAUUAAUAAUCUUAAAAUAAUAAAAUUAUAUGACAUACAAACAAGCCAUAAAAUUUUAUAAUUUAUUAAUUUAAGAUAUUUAAUUUGUUGUUUUUUAAGAUAUUAAUUUAUUUAUAUUAUGACAAAUUUAUCUUUAUCGAAAUAAUAGUAUACUCUUAAGUUUCCAUACAUAGAUUUUUUUGACUAAAUUAGUUAAUGAAAUUAAUUAGAAAAAGUCUACUUCAAAAUAUAAUUUUUAGUAGUUUCAUCAAAGUCACAAAAAAUACCUACUAAACAUUUAUAUGUUGGAUAUAUAUAUAUAUAUAUAUAUAUAUAUAUAUAUAUAUAUAUAUAUAUAUAUAUAUAUAUAUAUAUAUAUAUAUAUNNNNNNNNNNNNNNNNNNNNNNNNNNNNNNNNNNNNNNNNNNNNNNNNNNNNNNNNNNNNNNNNNNNNNNNNNNNNNNNNNNNNNNNNNNNNNNNNNNNNAUAUAUAUAUAUAUAUAUAUAUAUAUAUAUAUAUAUAUAUAUAUAUAUAUAUAUAUAUAUAUAUAUAUAUAUAUUGUGUAAAAUUAUAAAGUGAAAGGGGAAGAAAACAAGAGAAAUCAGAAUGUAGGAAGAGAAUAAAAUGCAUGGGAAAACUCUAUAUUAAAUUUCAUUAGGGGUCUCUCCCUUUUAUAGGGAAUUACAAGAUAUAUUUAUGGAUGAUCAUCCACAAGUUACCAUAGUGGUACAAAAUCUCAUAUUUUAUAACACUCCCCCUUGGAUGAUCAUAAGAAUAUGCCUUAUUAAAACCUUACUAGGAAAAACCCUAGUGAAGGAAAAAGAGUACAAUAUUCUUUUGAAUUACUAUAACUGUCUCGUUAAAAACCUUGCUAGUAAAACCCAAUGGGACAAAACCCAGAUGAAGGAAAAAAGAGUGCAGUAUAUCCAUAUUAUCAUUCUCCCCCUCAUGUAAACAUGAUUAUGAUUUCUUCAACGUUUCAAAUGGUAGAUCUCUCAAUCUUCGCAUUCCAAUGUCAUACCUUAACUUUUUCAAUGUGGUUGAAGGUAACACCUUUGUGAAUAGAUCUGCUAGAUUAUUGCAUGACCGGAUUUGUUGAACAUCAAUCUCACAUUUCUUUUGGAGCUCGUGAGUAUAGAAGAAUUUACGGGAGAUAUGCUUAGUUCUGUCACCUUUUAUGAAUCCUCCUUUAAUUUGUGCAAUACAAGCAACAUUAUCUUCAUGUAACACAGUUACAUUGCCUCUAAUGGAAGGUAGUCCACAUGUUUCUUGUAUAUGUUGGAUCAUUGACCUUAGCCAUACACAUUCACGACUUGCUUCGUGAAUUGCAAGAAUUUUUGAGUGAUUUGAAGAUGUGGCUACCAUUGUUUGCUUGACUGAUCUCCAAGAUAUUGUCGUUCCACCAUAAGUAAAGACAUAUCCCAUUUGAGAUCGAGCUUUAUGAGGAUUUGAAAGAUAUCCUGGAUCUACAUACCCAAUCAAUUGUGAUUUUGAUUCUUUUAAAUAAUAUAAACCCAUGUCACUUGUUCCACGAAGGUAUUGCGAUAUAUGUUUAACCUCAUUCCAAUGCCUUUUAGUUGGGGCAGAACUGUAUCUUGCUAGUAAGUUGACAGAGAAUGCUAUGUUUGGUCUAGUACAAUUUGCAAGAUACAUUAGUGCACCGAUUGCACUGAGAUAUGGUACUUUUGGACCAAACAAUUCUUCAUUUUCUUCUUUAGGACGAAAUGGGUCUUUGUUCACUUCAAGUGAACGAACAACCAUAGGGUAAUUGACUGGAUGUGAUUUGUCCAUAUAAAAUCGUUUUAAUACUUUCUCUAUAUAUGUCGAUUAAUGGACUAAUAUGUCAUUUGAACAAUGCUCGAUCUGCAGGUCGAGGCAAUAUCUUGUUUUCCCCAAGUCUUUCAUUUCAAAUUCCUUCUUUAAAUAAUUGGUUGCUUUUGUGAGCUCUUCAGGAGUUCAUAUAAGGUUUAAAUCAUCCACAUACACUGUAAUUAUUGUAAGCCCAAAUUUUGAUUUCUUGAUAAAAACAUAUGGGCAAAUUGAAUUAUUCACAUAUCCUUCUUUUAACAAAUACUCACUCAAAUGAUUAUACCACAUACGUCCAGAUUGCUUUAAUCCAUACAAAAACCUUUGUAGUUUGAUUGAGUACAUGUUUCGAGGCUUUGGAUUAGUUGCUUCAGGCAAUUUGAAUCCUUCAGGGAUUUUCAUAUGUCAGUAUCUAUAAACCCAUAUAAAUAGGUUGUAACAACAUCUAUAAGACACAUAUCUAGUCCUUUAGAGAUUGUUAAACUUAUCAAGUAUUGAAAUAUGAUUGCAUCCAUUACAGGGGAAUAAGUUUCCUCAUAGUCUAUGUCAGGUCUUUGAGAGAAACCUUGAGCAACAAGUUGUACUAUAUAUCUUAUGAUUUCAUCAUUCUUAUUUUGUUUUUUCACAAAGACCCAUUUAUAUCCAACAGGCUUUAUGUUUCCAGGUGUUUGAACUACAGGUCCAAAUACCUCUCGUUUUGUUAACGAGUUUAGCUCUGUUUGGAUUGAUUCUUUCCAUUUUGGCCAAUCAUUCAUUUUUCGACAUUCAUUCACAGUUUGUGGUUCUUGAUAUUCAUCAUUUCUCAUGAUGUCCAUAGCCACUUGGAAUGCGAAUAUAUUAUCUAUGAUAAUGUCACUAUAGUCCUUUGUUUCUCUCGUGUGACUCAUUAAGAUCUUUUUAGUUCUAGAUACCGAUAUUUGAUCAAUUUGUGCCUCUUCAGGAGCUAAUUGUUUGUCAAGUUGGAUUUCACCAUUUGACCUUUUCAUGUUUGUGAACUCUUCAAGAGUACUAAGUUUUUCAUAUGUUGUACCUUUUUUUUUUCUAGGAAUUAAAUCCUUUGAGCUAAUAGGUCUACCACGCUUCAGGCGUGUCUUAUAUUCAUUUGUUAUGGCAUUCUCCAAUUGUCCUUCAGGGACAUCAAUAUGUGCUGGGACGUUCACAACUGGCACAUGUGACUUUGUUACUUUCUUUAUAUCUAUGAAAGCAUAAGGUUAUUGAUUUGCAAGUCCUUGCAAAUGAACAAUCCUUUCAACUUCUAACUCACAUUGUCUUGUGCAAGGAUCAAGAUGAGACAAGGAGGGUACAUACCAUGUAAUAUCUCACCAUUCUUUUGACUUGUCUCCCCCUAAUGGCGGGAAAACAUUUUCAUCAAAAUGACAAUCUGUAAAGCGGGCAGUAAAAACAUCACUUGUGACAGGUUCAAGAUAACGAAUAAUGGAGGGAGAAUUAAAACCAACAUAUAUACCAAGUCGACGUUGAGGUCCUAACUUGGAGCUUUGAGGUGGAGCUAUGGGAACAUAGACAACACAACCAAAAAUUCGAAAGUGUGAAACAUUUAGUUGGGAGCCUAAAGCAAGUUGUAAAGGUGAGCAAUCAUGAUUAGUUGUAGGGCGAAUUAGAAUUAAAGUGGCAGCAUGAAGAAUAGCAUGCCCCCAAGCAGACAAGGACAAUUUUGUUCUUAAGAGUAAUGGUCUUGCAAUCAGUUGCAAAUGCUUAAUUAUAGAUUCAGCUAAUCCAUUUUGAGUAUGGGUAUGAGCAACAAGAUAUUCAACAUUAAUACCAACCGACAUACAAUAAUCAAGAAAUGUUUGAGAAGAAAAUUCACCAGCAUUAUCAAGACAAAUUUUCUUAAUAGAAUGAUCAAGGAAUUGUGCCUUGAGUUGAAUUAUUUGAGCAAGUAACCUGGCGAAGGCAAUAUUUCUAGUUGAAAGAAGACAAACAUGAGACCAACAAGUUGAUGCAUAAAUUAAAACCAUAAAAUAACGAAAAGGUCCACUAGGCGGAUGAAUAGGUCCACAAAUAUCACCUUGAAUACUUUCUAAAAAGGCUGGUGAUUCAUAUUCAACCUUGAUAAAUGAUGGUUUAAUAAUUAAUUUUCCUUGUGAGCAAGCAACACAAUUGUAAUCAUUGGGCAUCAGAAUCUUCUGGUUUUUUAAGGGAUGCCAUAAAGAAUUGUUGAUGAUACGACGCAUCAUGGAUAAUCUUGGAUGACCAAGACGUUCAUGCCAUAUCAUAAAAUUUUUUAAGUCAUAGAACUUCUGGUUCAUGACAGCAUAUGACUCAAUGGGUUUAAUGAUUGUUUGAUAUAACUCACAAGAAUAAGAAGGAAGCUUUUCCAAGAUAUGUUUUCCCCCAUAAAUAAUUGAAGUAAUGAGAAGGUAUUCAUUACUAUCAUCAUUCAUAGUUUCAAUGUGAUAUCCAUUUUGGCGAAUAUCCUUGAAACUAAGAAGAUUUCGCUUGGAUUUAGCAUAAUAAAGGGCAUCAUUAAUGUGGAUUUUAGUUUCUCUGGGUAAAAUAAUAGUUGCUCUUCCAGAGCCUUGAAUCAAGUCUACAGGACCUGAUAUUGUAUUAACAUUAGACUUUCCCAUCGAUAUGUUGGAAAAAUAUUUUUUAUCACAAAGGAUUGUGUGUGUUGUGGCACAAUCUGCAAGACAUGCAUCUACAUUGGAUGUCGUAUGAUGUACCAAGGUAUGAGAAAGAUCCAUGUAUCUUCAAGUAUAAAUAAAGAGAAGAAUUUAAGUAAAAUGUGGAAUAAACUAUAAAAGGUAAAUAAUAAACAAUGUGUUCAAAGAAGAUACCAAAAUAAACCUAUUUGCAAAGAACUAAAUAAAAACAUAACGUUUAAUCAUAAUAAACAUUUCCAUCACCAAUUAGAUGGUCAAUUUUCCCAUUAGGAUUCUCAAAGAAAUCUGAAACAUCUAAAUGGGUUAGAUCCACUUGGCCAUUACUAUUAAUGAAGUUCAUUUCAACUUCCUUUCCUUUUACUUUUAUUAAGGCUUGAUAAAGGUCAACAAAAUGUUUUGAAGUAUGACAAGUACAUGACCAAUGUCUUUUCAUGCCACAUCUAUGACACUUAUUCUCACAAACAAGUUUACUUUGUGGUUUUAUCCCCUUUUCAGGUUAUGCCUCUGAAUUAUUCCACUUUUGGUGGUUUGAGUUGUUUUUUUUUACUUUGAGAACCACUAUGAUGAGAAGAAUUGUGUUUACCAUGACCUCGACUGCGACCACGUCCUCGACCUCGUCUAUAUCCACAUCCUUGUCCAUGUCUAAGGGUUUGAACAGAUGUGGCAUUGGCUUCAGGCAAUGACAAAAACCGAGUAGGACGAGAUUGAUGGUUUUUCAAUAAUAGCUCAUUAUUUUGUUCAACCACCAGAAGACAUGAGAUCAAUUCUAAAUAUUUAGUGAAACGACGUUCUCGAUAUUGUUGUUGUAGGAGCACAUUCGAGGCAUGAAAAGUCGUGAAUGUUUUUUCAAGCAUAUCUUCUUCAAUGACCUUUUCUCCACACAAUUUUAAUCGUAAGCUAAUUUUGAGUAGGGCCGAGUUGUAGUCACAAACAGACUUGAAAUCUUGUAAUCUCAAGUGCAUCCAAUCAUAGCGUGCCUUUGGAGAGGAUUACGGUAUUUUGGUGGUCAUACCGUUCCCUUAGAUUAUUCCAAAGGAUGAAAGGAUCUUUAACCAUAAGGUAUUCACCUUUUAAUCCUUCAUCAAUGUGAUGGCGAAGGAAUAUCAAAGCUCUGGCGCGAUCUUGUAGGGAUGCGUCAUUUCCUUCUUUAAUGGUAUUUCCAAGAUUGAUCGCAUCUAGAUGAAUUUCAGCAUCUAGAACCCAAGAUAAGUAGUUCUUGCCCGAAAUAUCGAGGGCAACAAAUUCAAGCUUUGCAAGGUUUGACAUUAUUUGAAAGCUAUAUAUAAUAUUAAUCAGAGAAAUAUUUCAAUUAUAAUAAACUAAAAAUGCUUUAACAAUAUUUCAAGUAAACAAUAUCUAAAAAUAUAAUGACCUAAAAUUUAUAAAUAUGGUAAAAAUGUAGAAAUAUGAAAUAAGAAUUAAAAUUUAAUAUAUAUACAUACAUAUAUUUUUUUUCAUAGCUUCGGGCUAUGAGCUUUCAUUAUGUAAAUUUGUAUAUAGCUUUAGGCUAUGAACAUUUGUUUAUUUUAUAGCUUCUGGCUAUAUAAUAUUGUUUGGUACAACAUCGAGUUAUACCGUAUAAUUAAAAAUAAAUAAUUGGGGAUCAUAUACAUAACUUUUGGUCAUGUAUUUGUAAUUUUGUAAUUUUUCCCCUGUAACUUCUGGUUAUAGGAAUUGCACAUAGUUUUCAUAACUUAUGGUUAUGAAUUUAUCCCAUAACUUCUGGUUAUAGGGAUUAUACAUAUUUUUCAUAACUUUUGGUUAUGAAUUUAUCUCAUAACUUCUGGUUAUAGGGAUGUAUAUACAUAUUUUUCAUAACUUCUGGUUAUGAAUUUAUCCCAUAACUUCUGGUUAUAGGGAUUAUACAUAUUUAUGUAUUCAAAUAAAAUAAAUGAAAUAGAUAUCAAAGAGUAAUAAAAUAUAAAAUCAUGAUAUAAGUUUAUCACAUACCUUUUGUGAUAAAGAAGAGAGAAGAGUCUUUCUAUUUCUUUGAAAAUGAAAACGUCUUUCUAUUUCUCUAAAUAGAGAAAAAUAUUUUUAUUUCUUUUGUAGAGCCUAGUCGUGCUAAUAACGUGUUAUAAAAUUAUAAAGUGAAAGUGGAAGAAAACAAGAGAAAUCAGAAUGUAGGAAGAGAAUAGAAUGUAUGAGAAAACUCUAUAUUAAAUUUCAUUAGGGGUCUCUCUCUUUUAUAGGGAGUUACAAGAGAUAUUUAUGGAUGAUUAUCCACAAGUUACCAUAGUGGUACAAAAUCUCAUAUUUUAUAACACACACACACACACACACACACACACACACACAUAUAUAUAUAUAUAUAUAUAUAUAUAUAUAUAUCUAAUCUCAUAUGCCUCCACAAGAAGAGAACCUAUGGAUAAAUUUAACAUAAUACAAAUAAAUUAAAAUCUUAAAAAAACCACAAAUUAAAUAUCUUCAAUUAAUAAAUUAUACAAUUUUAUAUUUUAUUUAUAUGUUAUAUAAAUUUAUUAUUUUAAGAUUAUUACUUUAUUAAUAAAUAAAAUAUUCAUUUAUAAUAUCUUUUAUCUAUCAAUUUAUGUUUGUUGAAGUAAUACUAGAUUCUUAAGCUUAAAUAUAAAUAAUUUAUUAUUAAAAUAUAUUUUUUAAUUUUAAUAAUAAAUUAUAAUAUAAUAGUUUUUAAUUAAAUUUUAAGGUAAAAAAUAAAUAAAUAACUGAAACCUCAAUUAGCAAUUGAGGUUUUAGUUCAAAAAUGAAGUCUCAGUUGUCAAUUGAGACUUUAGUUAAAAAAAAUGAAGCCUCAAUUGAUAACUGCGGCUUUAGUUCAAAAACUAAAGCAUCAGUUGGUAACUGCGACUUCAGUUAAAAAAUGAAGCCUUAGUUGCCAAUUGAGGCUUUAACUAAAAUUAUAUAUAUAUAUAUAUAUAUAUAUAUAUAUAUAUAUAUUUCUAUGACAUGGCUUUUAGGUAACACCAAAGAGGCCAAUUUGAACAUAAGUUUCAUAAAAGGGUUAGAUCUAAUAUUUUUUUGUAUGCAUGAGCCAUUUUGACCUAAAACUCCAACAUAAACAUAUUCUCAGCACAUUCUCACAUUGUCCCAUACAACAAAUUGUUUCUUCAUCAUUGUAUCUGUAUGGUAACUUAAGAAAUAAUGAGUUUGAAAAAUAACAAUUUUAAAAGAAUCUAAGGAUAAUUAUUAUUAAGGGAUAAAAAUUAAUAUAAAGGGGUUAAAUCUUAUAUAAUUAGUUGUGGACUUGCGUUUUUCACAUGUGUCCUCAAAAUGAUGACUUCAAAAGGUGGGGAAAAAGGCCCCCCUCCCAAAGGCAAAAAAUUUCCAUUUAAGAGAGAAAAAUGAUGGUUAGGAUGAGGACACGUGUCCUCAUCCCAACCAAGUUGGCCAAAAAAGCUUCAAAGCUCUUAAAAAACACACUCUAAACAAACACAAUCCUAAAGCCUCCAAUAAUCAUGUUCAGACCCAAAAUAAUCCCCUAAUAAUCUCUAGAAUGUAGCUCAAAAAUCAAUAGUGAGCUAAGUAGAUGCGGACCAAUAAAAAGUGAUGAAAAUGUGAGCAAAUAAAAUAAAAAAUGAGUGUUAGGGACAAAAUAGAGGGCCUACAAAUAUGCCCUUCUUCGAUGUAGAUCACAAGUGUAAUGAACACGAACAAUGAAACGUGAGUGAUUAAUGGAAUGAAGUGAACUGCAUCGAAGAACAAAAAGACCUGGAAUUUGGUCCUAGCACACAACAUGAUAAACUCUAAGAUCAGAGUCACAUACUGGGGUGGACGAACUUUGGAUGAGGAGGACAAAGCAUGAUAAUGACUAUGAAAUGAAAAACACUAGACUAUGAUGCAAUGAACAACGUAGGACUGUGAAUGUGAUGAACAACUCAUGGAUGUGGGUACUAAAUUCCCAAAGGUUGGCCAAAAGAGAGAACGCGAUACAUUAACUCUAGGUCAAACCACUCACGGAUGUCUAAAGAUGAUGAACAACUCAAGGUUGUAAUGAAAUGAACAACACUGGGCUGUAAUGAAAUGAAUAACACUGGGCUAUAAUGAAUUGAAUGGUUCAGGGUUGUAGAUGCAAUAAACAAUAUUGGUUGUAAUAAAAUGAAAAACCUCAAGAAUAGAGGUGUUGUAUGCCCAAAAUGGGAUAUCACGGUCUGUGACUCCAAGUCAAACCACUUAAGGGUGACUAAGAUAAGGGUAAUCAACUCACUAAAAAAAAUGAUCUAACUAACUCAAAGAUGGGGAUAUGCCCUAGAUGAAACUCAAGGGAAAAUGAUAACUACAAAUGAAACUAAAAUGAUAACAAACUCAGAACUAAGAUGUAAUGAACAACUCUACGCUAUAAUGAAAUGAACAGCUCAGAGCUGUGGAUGCAAUGAACAACUCAAGAAUAAGGGUAUUGUCUGCCCAAAUGGGAGAUCGCGAUUUGUGACAGCAAGUCAAAUCACUAAAAGGUGGCUAAGAUAAAGAAAAAAUUAAGUCACUAUCAAGGAUGAUCGAAAUGGCUCAAGGAUGAAGGUAUGCCCCAAAUGAAACUUAAUGAUAAAAUGAUGACACAAAUGAAACUAAAACGAGAGGAUGCCACAAAUGAAACUGAAAUGAUAAAAAACUUAAAACUAAGAUGUAAUGAACAACUCUAGGCUGUGGAUGCAAUGAACAACACCAGAUUAUGAUGUAAUGAGAUAAAUAACUUCAAGAGGUGGGCAUUGUACGCCUAAAAAAAAAAUCACGGUUUACAACUCUAAGUUAAACCAUUAAAGGGUGACUAAGAUAAUCAUGAUCAACUCACUAAAAGGAAAAUGUAACUAUCUCGAGGAAGAGGUAUGCCCUAGAUGAAACUCAACGGUAAGAGGAUGAUCUGAAUGAAACUAAAAUGAGAGGAUGCCAUAAAUGAAAUUGAAAUGAUAAAAAGAUAAAAACUAAGAUGCAAUGAACAACUCUAGGUUGUGGAUGCAAUGAACAACACAGGGCUAUGAUGUAAUGAGAUAAAUAACUCCAAGAGGUGGGCACUGUACGCUUAAAAAAAAAAAAAAGAUUGCGGUCUACAACUCCAAGUUAAACCACUAAAAGGUGACUAAGAUCACGAUGAUCAACUCACUAAAAAGGAAAAUGCAACUAACUUGAGGAAGGGGUAUGCCCCAGAUGAAACUCAACGGUAAGAGGAUGAUCUCAAUGAAACUAAAACGAGAUGAUGUCAUAAAUGAAACUGAAGCGAUAACGAACUUAGAACUAAGAUAAAAUGAAUAGCUUUUGCCUUUGGAUGCAAUGAAAAACACUAGACUAUAAUGAAAUGACAAACUCCAAAAGGAAAAUGCAACUAUCUUGAGGAAGGGGUAUGCCCUAGAUGAAACUCAACGGUAAGAGGAUGAUCUCAAUGAAACUAAAACGAGAUGAUGCCAUAAAUGAAACUGAAGCGAUAACGAACUUAGAACUAAGAUAAAAUGAAUAGCUUUUACCUUUGGAUGCAAUGAACAACAAUAAACUAUAAUGAAAUGACAAACUCCAAAAGGAAAAUGCAACUAUCUUGAGGAAGGGGUAUGCCCCAGAUGAAACUGAACGGUAAGAGGAUGGUCUUAAUGAAGCUAAAAUGAGAUGAUGCCAUAAAUGAAAUUGAAGUGAUAAAAAACUCAAAACUAAGAUAAAGUGAAUAGCUUUUGGCUUUGGAUGCUAUUAACAACACUAGACUGUAAUGAAAUGACAAACUCCAAAAUGUGGGCAUUGUACGCCCAAAGAGGGAGAUCGUGAUCUGUGAUUCCAAGUCAAAUCGCCAAAGGGUGACCAAGAUAAAAGUUAUUAGCUCAUUGAAAAGAAGAUCUAAGUAACCUGAGAAAGGGAGUAUGCCCUAAAUAAAAUUCAAAAGAAAAUGUGCCACAAAUGAAACUAAAAUGAUAACAAACUCAAAACUAAGAUGGAAUGAAUAGCUCUGGGCUAUGGAUGCAAUGAACAACAUCGAGCUAUAAUGAAAUGAAUAACUCUAAGAUGCAAGCACUAUACGCCUAAAAAAUGAUAUCGCAGUCUACGACUCCAAGUUAAACCACUAAAGGGUGACUAAGAUCAAGAAAAGAUCAAGUCACUAAUAGGGAGGAUCGAAAUGACUCAAGGAUGGGGGUAUGCCCCAAAUGAUGCUCAAGGAAAAAUGAUAAUCUAACAAACUAAAUGAAGAGGAAACAUGAGGUCUACAACCAAGAACACUUGAAACAAAAGUGAGAAUAUGAUAUGUAGCCAAAACCACUAAAAUGGACUCAGAAUGAAGGAAUGAUUGGGAUAAUGAACUCAAUGAAAAGGGAUACAUGCCCAAGAUGAUAACCCAUAAAGAUCAACAAAUGGAAUGAGUGGCCAAGUCAACAAAUAUCUGACAAUAUCAAUGAAGGGGAUAUGCCCUAGUAUGAUAACUCAUAGGGAUCAACAGACGGACCAAGCAUCCAUGAAGUCAACAAAAAGCUUGAUAAUCUCGAUGAAAGGGGUAUGCCCUAGUGUCAUAAGGAUCAAUCGUGUCUCCGAAUCUAUCUGACACAACACCUUGAUAUAAAUGUGCAAGCCGGUAGAGCCAACAGAAUGUCACACAAAUGCCACUGAAAUAUCUCUAUAUCACAAAUACCCAACUGCACAAUGACUAUGAGCCUAUGUCUGCUAUCAUAUGAAAAUAUCAAUCAUCAACAAGUCUAAAGUCUGCGUGUAUCAAAUAUGUAUAUGAUAACGAAUCCAAAACAUGACCCAAUACUAAAGAAAAUCACUAUAACUUAGAACUUUGUCAUAAAAGCAUGAACUGUACCAAAAUUUUGUCCAACACUCAAACUGUAACUGCUAACACAACAUAUGAGAUGCCCAUUUGAGAAAAAUAGGAUGUCAAUCAAAUACUCUGAUAAAGAUGACAUCAAACCGAACAUUCUAAUGAAAUAUUGAUAUACUGCCCAAAAAUAGUUGUUGAUUAGAAAAACUAAAUUGAUCCACUAUAUUGAAAAACAUAAACAUCAUCAUGCAACUAACUAGCUCAAAAUACUCCUUGAGGAACAAUGGUGAUUAGAGAUGACUCCGACUCAAUGAUAAUCCACUAAAAAAAAUCAAAAUGAUAAAUCUGUCAAUGUCCCAAGGAAAAUACUACAAAUCGAAUCUAAAAAAGACAAGCAAAAUGAUAGAAAGUCUAAUAAUAUCAUGAAUGGAAAUAUGUCUUUGAUGGAACCUAACUCAAUCUAAUGUGAAUUUGGUAACCUCGAAGUGAGGAAAUAUGCCCCAGUAUAUAGGAUCUGCCUACUACUCUAAGAACUAUCUCCAACUCAACAACAAUCCAAAUGGAUGAUCCAUCUCAAAAGUGUUUUACAUGAGGAACUUGAAAUGAUGAAAACUGUCAAUAAAUCCAAUAAUACCCCACUUAGGACUAUCUCCAUCUCAUCAACACAACUCCAUUGGGAAUCGUGGUGAUAUCAAGAAAGUAUGGGCAUGACUCACUAGCUCAAAAGAGGCUCUAUUAGGGAAUCAUGAUAAAAUUAGGCUAUCAAAUCAAUGAGAAAUCAACUAUCUCAACGAAAAGGGGGUAUGCCUUAGUGUAACAUCUAAUGCAUGGUAGAAUAGGAAUCUAGACAAUAUUGAAUCAUCCAUCAUCAAAUAUGUUAUCAACUAAUCAUCCAUACCCACAACUGAAUCAAAUCCAAACAUCAAAGAGACGUCUCUUAGAAGAAAAAACAUAAUGACAUCUAAAUAUCCACUGAACCUUAAACUCCUGCCCAAGUAGAGACUAUCAAAUAUGAUAUUUGAUCUCAUGGCUUAAGACAUAGGACAAAAUGUAGGCUAGGGUGAUAAGGCAAUAGAAAUGAAGGGAAAUUAAGGUCAAAUACCCGAUGAUCCAAACCUAUACCCUUGUGUAUAAAAAUGUAUAUGUAUAGAAAAUCUCAUGAAUCAUGGACUUGAGGGUGUAUAAAAAUGCAUAUGUAUAAAAUGAAUGAUGAUAAACUCAAAUCAAAACAUGGAGAAAAGCCACAUCAUCAAUGGAUGAGAUGAUGGAGAGAACAAUGACCCAAAGUCCCUAAAAGAAGGUACUCAUCUCUCAUACUUAGAAGGAUAUAGCAAAGUCAUCACAAUGAGGAGGGUCUCGGAAAGCUCACAUAUGAGUUCUCAUUAACGAAUAAACUCAAUGAAAUGACUCUUAAGUGUAUAUAUAUGCUCAAAGAGAAAAGUAUUAUGCUCAUACACACAAUGCGCUUAUUUUUUUUUUAAUAAUUUUUUUUUUCAUUUUUUUACAUAAUAAAUGCGCACACUCCGAAAAUGAACAAAUGAACUCCAGUGAGAAAACAUGAUGAAUGAAUACAUUCUUAAACAUUGAGGCAAUAUAAAAACUCUCUCUGAUAAGAUAACCUCUCAAGCUAAGGAUCUUUGAAUCAUUGUCCACAAAAUGGGUAAUGGAGGUGACAUGACUACUCUCCAUGCAAAGAAAUUUGAAGAAUCACCAUCCAGGAUGAAGAGAAUAUGAAGAUGAAUAACACAAACAAUAAGAUGUGAUGAAGUGCAGUGAUGUGAUGGUAACAAAUGAUGGUGAAAAUGUACCUAUAGGUGCAAGGCUCAUGAAACUUCUAAACAAAGCAUGCAUACACUAAAGGGCCCUUAUCCUGAUGUAGAAAUAUGAGUAAGACAAUAAGAAAUGAAAGACUAUAAUGCGCGUGUGUGGCUCAAUGGGCUAGCAAUGGUCUAUAUGUCAACAAGAGUGAUAAGGUAUAAAGCUAACCGAAAUGAAGACCAUCCAUUCUAUGACCACGAUCUCAAACAUGAUAUUUCUUUAGCCAAUCUACAUCGGUUAGGUCUAAGAAUUGAUUUCUAUCUAGAUAUGCCAAUCAUGUUGGCCCUUUUAGGGUCAACUUUCUAAUGACAUAGGGUCCAUCCCAACUGGGUAUGAAUGUCCCUCGAGGAUGUCCUAGAAUAGAUGAAUCUCAAUGACUAGUGAGGUGAGAUGAAUAGGAUAUGCAAGAAGAAAGUCAUCACGAGAGCCACACAAGUACUAAAAAACACUCAAAUCCAUAUGUAAAAAAAAAGUAGAAACAUCAUCAAAAUAGGAGACAAAAUCGAAUAACACAUCUAAUGAAAAUGUUGGGCCCACAAUUACCAUAACCGGGCUAGCAAUGCCCUCAAAUACAUCAUCAAAAUAAGAAAAAAAUAAAAAUAAAAUUAUAUCAACUCUGAAACAGGUAAAGUUGAAUCUCCUCUAAACUCUUGACGACGAAGAUCCUAAACAUAUAAAAAAAGGUGGAUCAUCUCUAGCUAAUCAGUGUUAACCAUCUAACUAACAUCUAAUGCAUCCAUCUCAAACUCAUCAUAAAGAACUACCUUGUCUAUCAUGUCUCUGGUCUAAAAAAAAACACUAACAUCUUCCAUGAGAUCCCUCAUCCAAUAUAAAAUGCUCUGACUCAGUAUCCUCUAAUCUCAUCAUCUAUACAUCGUCAUCAUCAACAUGAUCAAUGGAAGGAAUACUAAUUGUAGAGGGUGGAACUACAUGAGUAGAAUGAGCAGUCAUAGGGUUGACGAUCAUGCCUAACUGAUCUAAACUAAUCAAACCUCGAUCAAUAACAUCCUGAAUGGCAUGUCAAAAAGUAGUGCACCAAUCUGUGUCAUGUCCCUGUCUCUAGUGGUAGGAACAACAUAGGUUCAUCCUAAAUUGUGGUGGGAUUGGUUGAAGAAGAGGCUUAGGCUCCAACGGAGUCAAUAAUCUAGCAUCUAUGAGCUUCCGAAGAGCCUAGCUCAAUGAAAUCCCUAAUUGAGAGAAGCAUUGUGAUAUCCUCGAGCAAAAUAAGUGCGAGUCUAUGGAGGUCUGGCUCUAGGAAUUGAGGUAGAAGGCCUCUUUAUGAACUAAGCAACAUAGCAUGUUUGUAGUAGAGUAGAAUAUGAGUAUGUCCACUCAAAAGGUCAAUGUGGAACUAGUUGUCUAUAUUGAUAUCGGGGGUAAGGAGAAUAUCCCUUGGUAGCAUGUAAGGCUAACUGGUGAUGUUUGAAAGUCCUCUGUUUGGUAGGAGAAAUAGUAAUGACAUCUUGCCUAUGCUCUCCUAAUGGAUUCUUCCCCUUAGAGUCAAUAGGGAAAGAAUCUGGCUAUAAUCCUCUCGUAAGACCAUCCUCUACACUAAAUAGGGCUAUGACCAAAGAUCCGAAAUCUGUAAAAGGUACUCCAAUCACAUGCCCGACAAUCCUGGGCUACAAUCUCCUCACAACCAUCUGUAUUUGCUCUCUCUCAAUAGGUCGGUUAAUAACUUGGACAAACUUCUCCCUCCAACGGGAUAUAAAAGAAGAAACUGAAUCAUAACCUCUGUCUUAAUGUGUCUAACUCCCUUCUCGAUACAUCUAUGCCAGUAUUAAAAGUGAACUGUCGUAUAAACUCUUGUGCUAAGUCCUCCCAAGUCUUGUGGAAUCUAAUGAUGCAUACUAACACUAAGUUACACCACUAAAAGAUAAUGGGAAUAAAACAAUCAACUUGGUCUCAUCCAAUCCAUAGGCCCUCAUAAUGAUGCUAUAGAGUCUGAGAUGGAUGCGAGGAUAGCCAAUGCCAGUAUAUUUGUUUAUCUCCGACAUCCUGAACUUGGCUAGUAAACUGGCCACUGGUAUCCCAUUAGAAUCAUCCUAAGCGACUGAACUAUCUGACACCCUAAUUUGCCUGAUUUGUUGUUUAGGACGAUCCAUGUGAGCAUGUACAUCCUCAGAGACUAUGGUUUGUGUUAUAAUGGGUGGAACAACCUCAGAUUGACCAUGUAGCAUGAAAGGUGAGGCUUGUGGCACUAAUGGUCCAGGAAGUGGGGGUGGGUUUAUACCCUAUUGACUAUUGAGCCUUUGACUGAGACUAUCUAUAACCUCCUGAACAGAAGCCACCGUGGUUGUGAACUGAUCAACUGUGAUGGACUACAUAUCCAUAUAUGUUUGAUCAAUGAUGUAAAAUAGUAUAUCGUCAACUCUAACUCAAGAUGGCAAACUAAAAAACGAAGAGCAAAUCCUAUAAAGCAUGGAGAAACGAGAUAAGACACGAUGCGAGAAAAACACAGAAGAGAUGCUAGACUAAACUAGAAGAAACAAAUCAACAAAAUGUAGAAGAAUGGUCCAACUAAAACUCAAGCUUGCACUGAUCUUUAAGCACUCUCUACUAGAGACCAAAUGAGGGAGUACUAGGUCCAAAGUUGUGACUAAAACGAUCCCAAAUGCUCUUAGAUGCAUCCACGUGUAAGAGAUGAAAUCCUGAUAAAAUGAUCUAAGGCUCAACCUAUAAAGUUAAGGUGACUCUAGAAGGGAAAUGGUGGACUUUAAAAGACCCUUAGCAGAGGCGAUCAUACUUUCCAAUGGUACACAACCCUUUGCGUCUCCGAAGAUACGAGACUCUUCCAUGCAAGGUGGUCAUCACCUCCACACAUGCACUACCUCGACAUUCUAGGGGAUUUCCUAUGGUGAAAGCUUUUGCAACUCUCAGCACUCAAUAGUCAACUAAAGUGCACAAUGAGUGGUGUGGGUGCAUUCAAAAAUCCUAUGAAGCUAAAGCAAAAAAUGAAACACAUUGGUCACAUAGAUAUCCAUGAAACCUAACUUUAAGCUAUACAGGUCUUUAAAGAUUGAACUUCAAUCAACAUCAAUAUGUCAACCUUCUCUAGAAUGCUCCCAAACAUCGAUAUAGCCCAUCGCUAAACCCUACUCCUAACCACUAGCUCGGUCGGAGAAACAAACACACACAAGGCCUUACAUAUGAAAAUGCGAGAACCAAAAGAAAUGAAAUGACCAAAACUAGAGGGUCGAAAAUAAGGGUAUAGAUAUGUGACCUACAUAGACAAGCAACACAUUCAAAAAUCUUUUGCAACUAGACAACCUCGACAUCCCAGGGGAUUUCUUAUGGUGAAAGCUUUUGCAACUCUCAGCACUCAAUAGUCAACUAAAGUGCACAAUGAGUGGUGUGGGUGCAUUCAAAAAUCCUAUGAAGUUAAAGCAAAAAAUGAAACACACUGGUCACAUAAAUAUCCAUGAAACCUAACUCUAAGCUAUAUAGGUCUUUAAAGAUCGGACUCCAAUCAACAUCAAUAGGUCGAUCUCCUCUAGAAUGCUCCCAAACAUCGAUAUAGCCCAUCAUUAAACCCUACUCUUAUCCACUAGCUCGGUCGGAGAAACAAACACACACAAGGCCUUACAUAUGAAAAUGGGAGAACCAAAAGGAAGGAAAUGACUGAAACUAGAGGGUUAGAAAUAAGGGGAUAGAUAUGUGACCUACAUAGACAAACAACGCAUGCAUCGCACAGGAGUAGAACAGUCAUGCAACAAGCAGUCACACAAAAAGUAGAUAUGUCAUACAGUCUACACUCAAGCUAAGCAAGGAAAAUGAUAAGCAAGAUGAGUAGCAAAAAAGACAACAUGCUCAAAGAUGAUCAAAAUAAUAUAUAAUAGAAAGAAUCAACACUAAGACAAACAAGAUAUACAACAAUGUGAACAUACAUGUCAAAGUGAGCAGGGUUCAUGGCUAGACCAGAAUCAAUAUACUAAGACAAGCAAAAUAAUAAAUCAAUAGCAUCAAUAUGUCAAUGUCCCAAAUGGAUAUAGCAAUCAAGCAUAGAAAAUUACCACAUCAAAACUCUCAAUGUGCUAUGAUUACUCAAGCAUAGAAAAACACAAAGAGAAGGUAUCCAUCAACUAACUAAUCGAAUGCCACAUUUGCCUUAACUUAAGUUCAAGCUUGACUCUCAUAAGAUCCCCAAUGAAGUCUCCAUUUUGUGGACCUCACAUUUUGCACGAUGCAUUCCUACUUGACGGUGAGACUCGUUUUUUUUAUUUGGUGAGAAUUUGAUUUUUAGAAAAAAAAAAAAAAAAAACUUGGAGUUGCCACUUAUUUUUGGUUUUUUUUGCUUUUUUUUAAAAGGAAAAAAAUAAGAAAAAAAACCUUGUGUGACUCUUUAUUUGGAAAAGACAUGUCUGCAAAAAAUCCGAGUUGGGUCAAGGUAUCAGGUUACUUAUUGGAAAAUUACAAUGAAAAACUGUAGCACCUCUCUAAGUCUUUAAAAACGGGUCUCUACUAAAUAAGGUGAGACAAGUGUGUCAAUUGAUAAGGAAAUCAAUGGAUACCAAGGAAUAAUCAUACAUUGAAAGCUAAUCAUGCCUAGAGAAUAAAUAAACAAAGUAGGAACGGGAUCAUACCUUAGUAGCAAAUAAUAAUGCGCUAUUAUGAAACGGAGUAAGUACAUAAUAAUGAAUACAAAAUACAUCUCAUGUGUCACAAAAUAGAGCAAAAACCAUCAAUGCCAAUUAUGCAUUUCACUCAAAUCAUUUUUAAAGAAAAUAUCAUGGAUGUUGGGCCCCUGCUAAAGCCUAAUUUAUUUUAGUAUGAAUUAAUCCCAUAAAUUCCUUUAUUUUGGAAUCAUGAAAAUUUAUUUAUUUUCAUUAAAAAAAAUGAGAAAAUCAGAAAAUUAUUUGAAAAUCAAAGAAAAAUUGUAAAAGUGCGUGCCAGAAGGAGAAUGGCAGCAAGCUUAUUAAAAUUAGGAUUUUUGGUAACCUAAAACCCUAAUGAAGGAUGAAAAGUUGAGGAAUCCAAACAAGAUUUUUGAAAAUCAAUUUUUGAAAGCAUGCAUGAAGAUGAGGAAAGAGAUGAAGCACGUAGGCUUUAAGAAUGGCCCACCAGAGGUGGCCAUGCAUGCCAUGCGAGAGAGAGAGAGAGAGAGAGAGAUAAUGGGUCCCAAAGGUAGAGAGAUGCUAGCAGGAAUGAGGGCUUGUUCUUUUGAGUCUGAUAUUUCAUUAUGUCUUCUCUACUUGUCCCACAAAUGUCAUUUUUGUAGCAGAUUCACUCAAAUGAUUUUACCAAACCAUGUGCUCUUUGGCCAAAAGAUGACCCCAUUGUUGGUGGAAAUUUAGAUAACAACUUGUUGGGUCCCCCACUUCUGCAUAAGAGUGCAUGGCCACCUUUGGGUACGCCAUUUUCAAAGCCCACAGCUAUCGAGAAUGCAAAGGAUGAAGAGAACUCGUUCACUGCUUCUUCUAGGAAAAAGUUUGAUUAGUACUAGAUUUUUUAAUGUCCUCUCGUCACUAAACAUAUAAUGAAGAAAAUUGGAGACAACAAUUGGCCUUCUACAUGCAAGAUGUUAGAGUGAUUCUCUUGUGAUUGAGAGAACUGUACCACACAUAGUGAACUUCUAAAGCUAUUGGUAGUUUGGGGCAACUUUUUCGAGCCAAACGCUCUCGAACCUCAAGAUGUUUCAUAGAAUUCUAGAGCCUAAAAUAACAUUGGCAAGUACUCUUUGGAAUUUUCUUGGUGAGCAUGAAACUCAGAAUUGCCAUGGAGAAGUUCAGAACCAGAAUCUAAUUGAUCUUGGGAGUCCUUGAAGUAUUCCAAUAUGGUCAUAUUUAAGGAGGCCCUGCUAACACCAACUCAUCUGGCUAUACACAUGGAAUAUGCUGCUGAAGAAGAACAAAGUGAUGAUAUAAAUGAAAGUUUUGCUCCUACUAAUGCAACCAAAGCCUCUUAAUUGGUGUUACUAGCAAUAUGGAUCAAGAGAGACACACAAAAAGCUAUUUCUUUGGGGACCUAACAAGUUGUUAUCUAAAUCUCCACCAACAGUGGGGUCAUCUUUUGGCCAAAGAGCACACGGUUUGGUAAAAUCAUUUGACUGAAUUUGCUACAAAAAUGCUAGCAUUUGUGGCACAAACAGAGAAGACAUAAAGAAAAAUCAAACUCAAAAGAACAAGCCCUUGUUCAUGCCAGCAUCUCUCUACCUUUGGGACCGAUCCUUUCUCUCUCUCUCUCUCUCUCUCGUAUGGCAUGCAUGGCCACAUUUGGUGGGUCAUUCUUAAUGCCCACGUGUUUUCUCUCUUUUCUUAUUUUCAUGCAUGCUUUCAAAAAUUGAUUUUCAAAAAUCUUGUUUUAAUUUCUCAACUUUUCAUCCUUUAUUAGGGUUUUAGGUUAUCAAAAAUCCCGAUUUUAAUAAGCUUGCUGUCAUUCUUCUUUUGGCAUGCACUUUUACAAAUUUUCUUUGAUUUUCAAAUAAUUUUUUGAUUUUCUCGUUUUUUUUUUAAUAAAAAUGAAUAAAUUUUCAUAAUGUCAAAAUAAUGGAAUUUAUGGGAUUAAUUCAUGUUAAAAUAAAUUUGGCUUUAGUGGGAACGCAACAUCCAUGAUAUUUUCUUUAAAAAUGAUUUGAGUGAAAUGCAUAAUUGACAUUGAUGGUUUUUGCUCUAUUUUGUGACGCAUGAGAUGUAUUUUGUAUUCAUUAUUGUGUACAAACUUCAUUUCAUAAUAGCACAUUAUUAUUUGCUGCUAAUGUACGAUCCUGCUCCUACUUUGUUUAUUUAUUCUCUAGGCAUGAUUAGCUUUCAGUGUAUGAUUAUUCCUUGGUAUUCAUUGAUUUCCUUAUCAAUUGUUACACUUGCCUCACCUUAUUUAGUAAAGACCUGUUUUUAGGGACAUAGAGGGGUGCUACGGUUUUUCAUCCUACCUUCCUAAUAAGUAACCGACCCUUGGACCCAACUUUGGUUUUUUACAGACAUGUCUUUUUCAAAUAAAGAGUAACACAAUAUUUUUUUUCUCUUAUUUUGUUUUCCUUUAAAAAAAAAAAGAAGUGGCAACUCCAAGUUUUUUUUGUCUUUCUAAAAAUCAAAUUUUCACCAAAUAAAAAAUCGAGUCUCACCGUCUAGUGGGAAUGCAUCUUGCAAAAUACGGGGUCCACAUUAGUAUGAAAGAUAUGAAAAUUGAAAGAAAAAUUUACCCUUAUCACUUGUCAUGUUAGAAAACACAUCACCGAGUGUGUGAGUUGGAGAAAGGUUCUCCUAAAAUUGCUAACCAAACACGCCUUAACCUUAGAUUAAAACCAAACUGAAUGUAAAAAUUUAUUUUAUUUUACAAGUUUGUAAGAGAAAAGUUGAAAAGUAUUUAACUCACUUUGGAAUACCUUUUACAAUAAUGAAAUUUUUGUCAAAAUAGUUGGUUUUCUCAAGUUCAAAUUCGUAGAACUUUUUUCUAGAGUUCCCUCCAUAUCUUUCCUAAUUCUACGAUAAUUAUCUAUUUUGUUUUAAUGCAAAGUAAUUUUAGACCUUGAGUUUAUCAAUUUUUAUGUAUAUUGUUUAACAUGUAAGUUGUAAGUUUACAUGUACUUGUACGACAGAAACAGGAUUGGAGGCUUGCAAGAUAUAAAAGGUGGCAUCCAAGAAUUAGGCAAGGGGCAAGGAUGAUGAGCUUUUUAAGACAAAAACAAACACCAUUACUAGAAUGAUUGUGAUCCCGCAUUUUUACAUGUGUUCUCACUCGAUGGGGAGACUCGCUUUUUGUUUGUGAAAAACUAAUUUUUUAAAUAAUGGAGUUGUCACUUAUUUUUAUUUUAUUUUUUAAAAGGAGAAACAAAAUAAGAAAGAAAAACCCUAAAUGUGACUCCUGAAAGAAUAGACAAGUUUAUGAAAACCAAGUUGGGUUUGGGGGUCAGGUUACUUAUCGAAAAGGUACAGUGAAAAACCAUAGCACCCCUUUAAGCCUUAAAAACUAGGUCUCUACUAAGUAAGUUUGAAGAAAUUAUGAUAAUUAAUUGGUUAAUCUAUGGAUACCGUGGAAUAAGAAUCUUAAUAAUAAUAAAAAAAUAUAUAUAUGAGUAAGCGAGAUAGAUUCCAGGUGUACCUUAGAUGCAAACUGAAUGCUAUCAUGAUAGAUGAGGUUAAUGUAUAAUAAUAAAUAUGAGAUAUCUCAUGUAUAUUCUGUAGUAAAGUUAAAUCAACCGUUUAUUUUAAUAAACAAGAUAACCAAAAAUCAAUCCACAAAUGAGUACAUCAUGUAUAUCAAGUCCCUCCAUCACCUAUUUUAUUUCAUGUGGACGUGGGAAAUAGAGGAAUGGGCUGUCAGGGACUGUGCACCGAAGGUGGCCUUUCCUUGUUGACACUGAAACAGACACCUCCAGCUGUGUCUUCUGUUGUAUCAAGUAUCCAAAAAUGCUUUAUUUUCGAAGCUUGCUGUAUUUGAAGAGCUUUUGGGCAAUACCAAGUUAUACAGUGUUGAGUAAAUUGAGUAUACCCCUUCUGGAAGUGUAAUCUCAUGGAUUUCUCAUCCACUUGUAGAUGCUUUAAUCAAUAGAAGAAAAGAGGAUGACCUAAGUAACUGGUAUUCUUCUGAUUUUCAAUUUGAUCCUCACUCGAGCUCUUUGAGUCUUCCAAAAUUUUCCAGUUCUAUUCUUUAAGCUUCCAAUGCUCUGUUCUGAUUUCUCAAGCUGGUUCAUCAAGGCCAGGUUAUUAUUAGUUACUAAUUGUAGCUUUUCUUCCAAAUCUUUCUUUACAAAUUCUAUCUUUCUCAAUUCAUCUUUCCACCUCCUGUUUUCAUGUACCUUGGAUUCUUUGAUUGCUCUAGACUAAAAGCAUUAGGUUACACUCACCAUUCCCAGGAAAAAUCUAAGAAGGUUCAGAUCAAUUUAUCCACUUUCUGUCUUUCCAUGGGUUGUAUUAUCAACUUUCAAGGUUGGAGGGUCUAUGGUUGUUAUGCAUUCUCCAAGCCAUGCAUGUGACUGUUUGCCAGUCAGAGUAAUUCUAGUACUCCACCUUACCUACUCACCUUCAUGGGAAUUUGAACAUUUAGACUUAUGCUCAUGAGAGGAAAAUAUUCAAGCUUGUAGCGAAUUAUAGUCGAUAAGUUAGUGUUGGAAAUCAAGCCAGCAUCCUCUGUUUACUUCCCUAAUUAGUGUAAUGUACAGCCUUUAUUAUAAUUGAUUUAGGAGUAAUUCUAGCAAGGUAGUUUAUUCACUUUCCAUGUAAGAGUAGUUUAUUCACUUUCCAUGUAAGAGUAGUUUAUUCACUUUCCAUGUAAGAGUAGUUUAUUCACUUCCCAUGUAAGAGUUUAUUCACUUUCCAUGUAAGGGAAAUUCCAUUCCGGAAUUGUCUCAUAUCUGUAGGUUAUUUAUUUAUGCUUUAAAAAAAAAAAAUCAUAGAAUGAAUUGAGGUGUUCCUCCAUAGUUUGUCUUCAAAUUCUUCAUGGUAUCAGAGCAGGUUUAAUCCUGUCUCAUGUCUCCUCUUUUGUCAGUACAGUCACAAACUGGCUCAUCUUCCAACCAGGUAAUUGGUUCCGGAACCUUGGCUCACAAAGGUAAUUUUUUGAGUGCCUUCACUGCUGGUAAGAAACGUAAAAAACCUUGGAUAGUGGACUCAGGAGCAUCUGAUCAUAUGACGGGAGAUGCGACAAUUUUUGAUACAUAUAGCUCAUGUCCAAAUAAUUUAACAGUCCGAAUAGCAGAUGGUUCACUAUCAAAGGUUGCCGGAACAGGUUCAGUUGUGCUAUCAAGGGAUCUUACUCUCAACUUUGUUCUCCUUGUUCCUAACUUGGACUGUAAUCUAUUGUCAAUUAGUAAACUCACUAAGGAAAAGAGGUGUAUUACUAAUUUUUCCUCCACUCACUAUGAAUUUCAGGAUUUGGAUUCGGGGAAGACGAUUGGCAAUGCUGAGGAAUGCUCUGGACUCUACAUCCUUAAGGAACGCCACGAUCCACAAGAACAACCUCAAAUGACAGUUGGUAGUAAUUCUUUUUCGGUUUCAUGUCAAAAUAACGAUAGUGCAAUUAGGUUGUGGCACUAUCGCUUAGGUCAUCCAAAUGUUAUGUAUCUCAAGCAUUUAUUUCCUUCAUUAUUUAAUAAAAAUCCAAAAUCCUUUGAGUGUGAAAUCUGUCAAUUAUCAAAGCAAGUCCGGUCUCAUUUUCCCAUUCAACCCUAUAAAGAGUCUAGUCCAUUCUCAAUGAUUCAUAGCGAUAUCUGGGGUCCGUCAAGAAUAAAAAAUGUAACUGGUACUAGGUGGUUUGUCUCAUUCAUAGAUGAUCACACUAGAUUAACUUGGGUAUUCCUCAUGAAAGAAAAAUCUGAAACGAGUCAAAUUUUCAAAAAUUUUAAAAAUAUGAUUCAGACCCAAUUCCAGUCAAAAAUACAAAUUCUAAAGUCUGAUAAUGCUAGGGAUUAUUUCAACUCCAUUCUAGGAGAAUUUCUAGCACAAGAAGGGAUAGUUCACUUAAGUUCAUGUGUUGAUACCCCACAACAAAACGGAAUCGCUAAAAGGAAAAAUAGGCAUUUGUUAGAGGUGGCUAGAUCACUAAUGUUCUCCAUGAAUGUUCCAAAAUUAUUCUGGGGGCAAGCUGUCCUUACGGCAGCCUACCUCAUCAAUAGGAUGCCGUCUAGGGUACUAAAAUUCCAAACACCUUGUCAAACACUCCUAAAAUCCUUUCCGACUACUCGUCUCAUCUCCACCGUCCCACCCAAAAUUUUCGGGUGCUCUGUCUUUGUUCAUAUCAAUCAACAACAUAGAAGUAAACUUGAUCCUAGGUCACUCAAGUGCAUCUUUCUUGGGUAUUCUUCAAAUCAAAAAGGGUAUAAGUGUUACUCUCCGGUCACAAGAAAAUUCUACAAUUCAAUGGAUGUCACCUUUUUUGAAACCCAGCCUUACUAUCCCAAAAACGAUAUUCAGGGGGAGAAUUCAACUCAGGAAUAUCAAUUUUGGGAUCUUGAGUCAUUCAGUGAGUCACCCAUCACCACUGAAAAUCACAUUCCUCCAGAGUCAUUUAAUCAACCCGAGUCCAUUGUUGACUUGUGGGAUAAGGAGCACAUCCAAGAGGAAACGGAGGAAAGAGCACUUUCUCAACAAACCCAUGAGGCAGAACCGGGUCCUAAUCCAAGCAAACUUCCAGGUAACAACGCUCCUGAUGGUACUGUUGAUUCCGAGUUAGAAAAUGAUAUUCUUAAUAUGCCCAUAGCUUGGAGGAAAGGAGUUAGAUCAUGCACUCAGCAUCCCAUUGGAAAUUUUAUUUCUUAUGAUAAGCUAUCACCUACGUUUCGUGCAUUCACUUCUAGCAUCACAGAUAUACAAGUUCCUCAGAAUAUUCAGGAAGCUUUCAAGUAUCCUAAGUGGAAGGCGGCAGUCGAUGAGGAAGUUCGGGCGCUGGAAAAGAAUGGUACGUGGGAAAUUACUGACCUCCCAAGAGGUAAGAAACCAGUUGGGUGUAAGUGGAUUUUCACAGUAAAGUACAAGGCAGAUGGUAAUGUGGACAGGUAUAAGGCUCGGUUGGUCGCCAAAGGAUUCACCCAAUCCUAUGGCAUUGACUAUCAAGAAACUUUUGCUCCAGUUGCCAAGCUCAAUACUGUUCGUGUACUUUUAUCCUUGGCAGCUAAUCUCGAUUGGUCGCUUCACCAACUUGAUGUGAAGAAUGCCUUCCUCAAUGGUGACUUAGAGGAAGAAGUUUACAUGGACAUUCCUGCUGGACUUGAGACAACAUCAAAUUUCAACAAGGUUUGCAGACUCCGAAAAUCCUUGUAUGGUCUCAAACAAUCUCCCAGGGCCUGGUUUGAACGGUUCACUAAGGUAGUGAAAGGGUACGGAUUCGUUCAAUGUCAAUCCGAUCACACAUUAUUUGUGAAACACUUCCCAGAAGGGAAACUGGCAAUUAUCAUUGUAUAUGUGGACGACAUAAUUUUGACAGGUGAUCAUGAAGAGAAAAUUGACUUACUUAAAAAAUUACUGACAAAGGAAUUUGAGAUCAAGGAUCUUGGAAACCUCAAGUACUUUCUCGGAAUGGAGAUUGCUAGGUCAAAGAAAGGUAUAGCAGUCUCACAAUGCAAAUACGUUCUGGACUUAUUGAAUGAAACAGGAAUGCUAGGAUGCAAGCCGGCAGAAACACCUAUGGAUACAACUGUCAAACUGGAAGAAAGUGAUGGAAGUGCGCCAGUUGAUAAAGGAAGAUAUCAACGUCUUGUGGGGAAACUCAUCUAUCUUUCUCAUACAAGGCCAGACAUCGGCUUCUCCGUUAGUGUGGUAAGUCAAUUCAUGAAUAAUCCAACCGAAAAACACAUGACUGUUGUGAUCAGAAUAUUGAGAUACCUCAAGAUGACACCGGGAAAGGGUCUCUUCUUUCAAAGAACAACAAAGAAAGAGAUUGAGAUUUUUUCAGAUGCAGAUUGGGCAGGUUCAGUGACUGAUCGGAGAUCAACUUCAGGCUAUUGUUCAUUUGUCUGGGGGAACUUGGUUACAUGGCGAAGCAAGAAACAGUCAGUGGUAGCCCGUAGCAGUGCUGAGGCAGAAUUUCGUGCUAUGGCACAAGGUAUCUGCGAGGGAAUCUGGUUGAACAGGCUGUUAGAAGAAUUACGGGUUCCAUUGAAGCAUCCCAUGGUGUUAUACUGCGACAAUCAAGCUACCAUCAGUAUCGCUAAGAAUCCGGUUCAUCAUGAUCGAACUAAGCACGUGGAGAUAGAUCGACACUUUAUCAAGGAAAAGAUUGAAGAAGGAGUUUUCAAAGUCAGCUACACUCCGACAAACUGUCAAACGGCUGACAUUCUCACAAAAGCCCUUGCUCGAGUUAACUUCGAAGAUCUGAUAGAAAAACUUGGAAUGAUCAACAUCUACAACGCGGCUUGAGGGGGAGUGUUGGAAAUCAAGCCAGCAUCCUCUGUUUACUUCCCUAAUUAGUGUAAUGUACAGCCUUUAUUAUAAUUGAUUUAGGAGUAAUUCUAGCAAGGUAGUUUAUUCACUUUCCAUGUAAGAGUAGUUUAUUCACUUUCCAUGUAAGAGUAGUUUAUUCACUUUCCAUGUAAGAGUAGUUUAUUCACUUCCCAUGUAAGAGUUUAUUCACUUUCCAUGUAAGGGAAAUUCCAUUCCGGAAUUGUCUCAUAUCUGUAGGCUAUUUAUUUAUGCUUUAAAAAAAAAAAAAUCAUAGAAUGAAUUGAGGUGUUCCUCCAUAGUUUGUCUUCAAAUUCUUCAUAUUUUUCUUCAAAUUCUUCAGUUAGCAAUGAAUGACCUCUCACCACUAACAACACAAACUGCUUAUUUACUCUUUGGUGCAGUCUCAUCCUCACUUUACCAUUUGAAGAAUCACUGGGUUGAGCUUCUAAAUCUGAUAACAUGGUAGUCUCCCGAAGACUACCAAAGGAGUCUGCAGAAGAAAUUUCCUUUUUAGUUGUGGCAUCAUCAAGUGUUGCAGUCUCUGUCAUCUUCUUCAUCGAUGCGCUUUUGUUAAAGUGACUCCUAUUAGACAGAAUAUUUUGGAAGAACAAAGUUAGUUUCAAGUUGGUUUUAGAGUUAGUUGACGAAGAUCUAAGAUCCUUUGAUUCUUGCAGAAUCACUAACCAAGAAUAUACAUUAUGGCAUCGACAAGAUCAACUCCUAUUGAGUUGGUUAUUAUUAUCAAUCUCUGAAGGAGUGCUGGCCCAGGUAAUUGGUUGUUCCACAUCUUCUGAAGUAUGGAUUACCCUGGAAAAACUCUUUGCAUCCCAGUCAAAGACAAGAAUAUUACAAUUGCAUAUCCAACUCCAAUCAAUCAAGAAAAAUUCAUUAACAAUGGGUGAAUAUUUUGCAAAGAUAAAAAGAGUUGCUGACAAUCUUGCAGCUGUCGGACAACCAAUCUCCAAUGAUGAUAAGAUGAUGUACCUUCUUGCUGGGCUUGGAUCUAACUAUGAUCCAGUUGUAGUAAGUGUUACAUCCAAACCUGAUUCCUUUUCUCUUCAAGAAAUACAGGCUAUACUACUCAAUCAAGAAGCACGCCUAGAACAACUACAUUCAGAAAAAUCAAUUGAGUUUCAAUAAACUGCUGCCAACAUUGCUUCACAUACUUUUUUCAAAGGCAAUGAUCCAAAGGUAUCAAUAGGUGGUCAUACCACCAUUCCUCAAAAUAUUAGAGGAGGUUACAGAGGUGGUCGCAAUCGAGGAGGUCGAGGCAGUAGAUACAACUUCUCAAAACCAAUCUGUCAAGUUUGUGGCAAACCAGGCCAUACUACUCUCACAUGCUACUAUCGAUUUGAUCACAAUUAGCAAUCUCAAAACUCUCAGAUUUCUGCCUCAAUUGAUUCACCAGAAAUGGUGGUUGAUCCAGCCUGGUACGUUGAUAGCGGGGCAACAAAUCAUGUCACAAAUGAGCUGGGACGUAUGCAAGCUGCCACUGAAUAUCUUGGAAACCAAAAGUUAACUGUGGGCAGUGGCCAAGGUUUGCCCAUUCAACAUAUUGGUCAUUCUUUUUUAUCUACUUCAGAUAAAACUAUUCUUCUCAAGAAUAUAUUGCAUGUUCCAAGCAUUACAAAAAAUCUUUUAAGUGUCUAAAAAAUUUCUUGUGACAAUGAUGUGUUCUUUGAAUUUCAUGCCACUCAGUGCCUUUUCAAGGAUAAAGUCACGGGGAAAAUUCUGCUUUAAGGGAGAAUCAAUAAUGGACUAUAUCAACUUCAAGGACCUAACUCUACCACAACAAAAGGAGCUCCAGUCAGCAAUCCAUAUGGAAUAAAGACUACUACUCAAAUAAAGAGGAAAUUGAACUCUUCUUUGGAUCAGUUGCAUUCAUCCUUCAGCAAUCUACUAUAGAAUAGACCUAGGUUAUCUUUCAAACAUCAAUGUUCCUCAGAUAACUGUUUUGCCUUGAAUGUUCAAUCUAAAGACUUAAAUACUUGGCAUAAUAGACUUGGGCAUCCUUCUCAUCGUAUGCUUCAUCAAAUACUCAAGAAAUGCAAUAAAUCGCAUAUUAGUAAGAAAGCCGUUAGUAAUUUUUGCUCUGCUUGCCAAUAUGGAAAAGGACAUAAAUUGCUUUUUCAUUCAUCCCCUACAAAGACUAGCAAACCUUUAGAACUUGUUCACUCAGAUGCAUGGGACCGUCACCUCUUCUCUCUACUGAAGGGUAUAGAUAAUAUGUUAGUUUUAUUGAUGAUUUCACCCGGUAUACAUGAAUUUUUCCACUCAAGAACAAAUCUGCAGUACCUUCUAUAUUUCUGCAGUUCAAAAAGUUUGUCGAGAAUCUCCUUGAAGAAAAUAUCAAAGCCUUGCAAAUAGAUAUGGGUGGUGAAUACAAACUAUUGGCACAAUUUCUCAAUCACAAUGGUAUAAUAUUGUGACAAUCGUGUCCCUAUACGCACCAAUAAAAUGGUCAUGAGGAACAAAAACAUAGGCACAUUGUUGAACUUGGCUUAACAUUGUAAGCACAAGCCUUCAUGCCUCUCAGUUUUUGGUGGGAUGCUUUCAACACUGCAGUUUAUUUAAUCAAUAGGUUACCUACAUUGCUACUGAAUAAUCAGUCUCCCAUGAGAAAAUUAUAUCAUCAAGAACCUGAUUUCUCUUUCCUCCCUAUUUUGGAUGUGCCUAUUUUCCACACAUCAGACCAUAUAAUAAGAACAAGUUUGAUUUCCAUUCACUCAAAUGCAUAUUCAUGGGUUAUAGUAGUCUACACAAAGGAUACAAGUGCCUAAGUUCCUCAGGAAAAAUUUAUAUAGCAUACAAUGUGGUAUUUGAUGAACAUUCCCUUUCUCCAUGGGAUUUUCAAUUAUCCCGACUCUUGGUUCUUAUAAAAAAACUAUGAGUACAACCCCAACUUCAAGACUUCCUGUGGUGUUACCCCAGCUUGACAAGCCAAUAUCAUCUGUUGUUAAAAAAUCAGUCUACAUCUUACACUCCCAAUGGAAACUCAAGAGAACCAACACAGUCUCCUACAACUAGUACUUCCAAAAAUCAUUCUACAUCCCAGUCAAUUCCUCAUAAUGACUUGCAUACUGAUUUGUCUAUUCCUAUCUUGAAUACACAUCCAAUGACAAGGUCAAAGGUAGGAAUAUUCAAACCAAAGCUACUCACAGUUGAUAGCACAACAGGACAACCUGAGAGUGAACCCAAUAUUGUUAUGGAAGCUUUGAAAUCUAACCAGUGGAAAAAAACUAUGGAAGCAGAGAUUCAGGCACUAAAUCAGAAUCAAACCUGGUUCAUAAUACCUUGUCUUCCACAUUAUAAUGUUGUUGGUCACAAAUGGGUGUAUAAGUUAAAAUAUAACCCAGAUGGCUCAAUUCAACGUCACAAGGCAUGACUUGUAGCAAAAGGAUUUCAUCAAACACCAGAAGUUGAUUUUUCAGAAACAUUCAACCCUGUCAUAAAGCCAACUACUGUACGCAUCAUCUUAACUAUAGUAGUUACAAAGGGCUGGAAGAUUCAACAACUUGAUGUCAACAAUGCUUUCUUAAAUGGAAAGUUGCAAGAAAUAGUUUUCAUGUCUCAACCUGAAAGAUUUGUAGAUCCAGAGAAGCCUGAAUAUGUAUGCAAACUACAUAAAGCAUUGUAUGGACUCAAGCAAGCACCACGUGCUUGGUUUGAAGAAUUAUGAAGUACUCUCUUCAAAUGGGGUUUCAAAGACUCGAAGGUUGACACGUCCUUGUUUCUAUAUAGUGAAGGUUGUAACUCUUUUUUCCUCCUUUUGUAUGUGGAUGAUAUUCUCAUUACUUUGAAUAACCCCAACUUAGUCACAAGACUUAUUCAUGAUCUCAACUUCUCAUUUUCACUCAAGGACUUCGGAGAGUUACAUUAUUUCUUGGAAUAGAAGCAUUUCGAGAUUCCACAGGACUUUAUCUAACUUAGUCCAAAUAUAUCCUUGAGAAGUUGUAUCGCAACAUUAUUGGAGCAUUACAAUAUCUCACGAUCACUAGGCCAGAAAUAUCUUACAUUGUAAACAAGUUGAGUCAAUUUCUACAUUGUCCAACUGAUAUGCAUUGGAAAGCUUGUGAACAAGUAUUAAGAUACUUACGCAGGAGUAUUGAUCACGGUCUACACAUUCAACCAGCCUCCCGUUUUAGUCUCACUAGCUUUUCAGAUGCUGAUUGGGUUAGUUUUGUUGAUGAUCGAAGGUCUACUAGUGGCUUUUGUGUUUUUCUUGGUCCUAACAUCAUCUCAUGGAGUUCACGCAAACAGAAAGUUGUUGCAAGGUCAAGCACCGAAUAAGAAUAUAGAGCAUUGGCUCACACAGCAGCAAAGGUAACCUGGGUACAAGGCUUGCUAAAAGAACUACAAGUACCUAACUCUUCAUGUCCUGUGAUAUGGUGUGAUAACAUUGGGGCAGCUUGCAUUGCUGCAAAUCCAGUUGCACAUGCCUGCACAAAACACAUCGAAGUAGAUGUCCAUUUUGUACAUAAAAAAUCCAGUUACCACCUUAGAUAUAAUUCCCAUGUGUCAUACCAAAGCUCCCAAAAGUCAAUGGUUCUAUGACAAAGUUUAGGGAUGCUAGUUGGAUUUUGAGAAGACUUGGAGUUUGAAAGCUUGAGAAAUCUUAGGCAGGCUGGUAGGGAUUUGAGACUUUCAUAGAUUUUAGGGAUAUUGAUUUGAUUUUGAGAAGAUUUGAAACUUGAAAGAUUUUGGGACGCUAGUCAGGAAAGGAACUAUGAGAUAUUUUAAGGUUUUCAAUGUCAUGUAGAUUUUAGGGUUUUUAAAGUCACAUUUACUAAUGUUAUGUCAAAGACUUUACUUUAUUUUUAAAGGACAAGACUCUUAAGGGGAUUUUUGCCAUUUAUGACUGAUAAUUACCAUCAUAUCCUCUAGAGCAAUUUCAUAAGUUUCUCCAACUUUUCACACUACUUAUACAAAGUUUCACUCUUUUAUACUAAUUUGCAGCCCCAACAACCCCUUAAUCAUAGUUGUCCUAAGAAUUAAUUGAUUAAAAGAAUAAAAAUAUCUUGUAUUUGUAAAUCUAAUCUCCUCCACUUAUGUUUUGAAAAAUAACAUGUUUUUAACAUAAAUAUCCCUUAACAUAUUGAUUAUUUAUAUGUAUAUUUUAAAAGAAAAAAAACUAGGGCAUUUUUGUUCAAAACGGAAAUUUUUUAGGGUUAAAAAAAGUUGAGAUUAGAUUUAUAAAAUAGGAAAGAUUUUGUCCCUUUUAAUCAAAUAACUCAUUUAAAAUUUCUACGGAGAAAUAUGGGAUGAUGUGUCACAUAAACACCACAUGAGUUCAUUAUGAGAAAGCCAUCGAAGACACCAUCUCUGUGUAUUAUGGUAUGAUUUUGAGAAUAAUUUUACCGCAUGGAAGCAUUAAUAAGACCAUCUAAAAACGAGUGAAGAAAUAGUUGGAUUGUAUGGGCUGGAAGGACCUAAUUGUAGAUGGACUAUAUCAUUUUGUUAAAUUAGCCUUACUAGAAAGUUUUUGCUGAAAAUGAAACCACUAAACAAUUACCUACGUCAUACGUGGGGCUGCUUCUCAGCAAUGGGGAUAACCUUUUUCAACACAAAAAAGGAGAGGAUGGAAGAGAUGUUCCAAUUAUAACAUUAGUGGAUGACUACUAAACAUAUAUUUGCUUUAAUAAUUCAAUUUCUAUUACAUUCCUCCUCCCAUGGACUCACUACCUCAAGUUGAGAAACGGAUACAUUUUGUCAAAUGUUGCUGAAACCCAUUUGUCUUUUAAGGAUGGAACCAUAGAGGUAUGAGUAGAAAUAUCUGACAUCCAAUGUAGAAAUGGUAGUUUGCAAUCAAUUUAAGCCUAAGAAUAAAGAGUUAAGUACUUUUGAUAGUUUUUGUGAAAAUGUUUUUUAUAAAAGUGUAUUUAAAAGAAUCAUUCAUCAACUACUUCUCCCAAAGCACAAAAAUUUAUAUUUUAGCUUUUGAAAAGUGUUUUUAAAAUUUUGUCAAACAUUUCAUUUUUUUUUUCAAAAGUGUUUUUUAUACUAAAAAUGUUUUGAUUUAAUUGGUAUUGAUUGUCUCUAAGUGAAUGGAGAGGAGGACGGCUGGGUUAUAGAAAGGUAAGGUGGAGGUAGUACUUUGAAUGACGAAGAGAGGUGGCUCAAUAGGGAAGGAAUGGGCGAUCAUCAAGGAUAACUUCUUUGUUGGUGAAAUGAAGAGCUAAAUAGCACCAAUGAUUCUCUAAGCUAGUUUAGAUUUCCAACGCCUCAGGAAAUUGGUCUAGCCUCACCCCACAAGCACCUUACCUUCCUUUUGCCCUUCGUUUGAUUUGCCUCCACGAACAUGCCACCCAGGAGCCCUACUCAUAUCCCAAAGGCUGCCUCAAUUCAAGUGCAACCCCCAUCUAUUGCAUAAUCUAAAAAAGUGUUUAGCAAAGUACCAUAGCAGUUACCAAAAUGAUUAGAUUUGGUUACCAACGAUCGCUUUCAAAGUUUCUUGAGGUUUUUUUUCUGAAUUUAAGUAGUCUUUCGUCGCCCGCCCAAUCAAAUGAAAGAAGACGCUAUCAAAUAACUCACCCUAUUGAAGUACCAAAGGGGCACUCCAGUCAACUUAGAAAUUGGUUUUUUCUUGAAUUUUAGUGAUGAGGUUGGUCAUAGAUCUUAAUGGGCUCCAAGAGGGAAGGUAGAGCUCUAAUUCUCUCCCUCAGGAGACCAAUUUUCAAUACUAGUUAUAUGUUACACUACCAUUUUUCUAAUAUUAUUGAAUAGCAUGACUUGGGGCUAAGGUAACUAAAAUGGGAGAGCCAUGUUAUGGGUAACCUUGUUCAGAAAGCACUAGUGUAUGUUGUUAUGCAAUUCAUUGUUCAUUUCUUCGUCGGCCAUAUCCAUGUUUCAACGAUGGCCCAAGGCACUGAAGUCAACAUGACCUACUUCAACAAACCCAAGACAAAGGGACCCUCCCCACCACAUUCCCCAAUCCAAAAAUGUGUCGAGGUCCACCCACAUCAUCUCCCUUGUAUCCCCAAGGGCACUGCCCUUCUUAACUUUUGAUAACUUUUCAAAUCAGAUGCCACAUACUCACCUUUUGGUCUGCAGGUUACCACCAUAGAUCAUACACAGACACACAUGCAUGCGCCCCACAGCUACUAUAACAAUAUUGGGCGCAAUUAGGUUCCUAGAGUUCUGGCACCUAAUUUUCCCUCUGAUUUAUUAAUAUUCAACACAAAUAUCUGCACGAAAUUAUACCCAUUCAGACAUUAGAUAAAUGCAUUUGGUACUCAAAUCCCUGGGUAAUAUGUAUAAACAAAUUUACAAGCAAAUACCCAAUUUAUGAAUCUGUCCAAAUGGAAGCUCUCUCAUUCUCUCUCAGCACCUUCUCUUUUAUUCUGAAUUAGACCACCACAACCACCAUGGUUCUUUCCAUAUGCACUCUGCCCUAUAAAUGCAAUGCAUCUUCUCCUCAGCAUGUCAUAUCCGGAGAAAAGGAUUGAACAACCUGAAAAAACAAAAUUAAUCUCAGAUAUAAAGUUAACUAUGCUGUAAAAUUUAGGCUCAAAGAAAUAUGCAUGGCCCAAAAAUAUAAAAGCAAGUUUCCAGGAUUGUGAACUCCAACAGCACUUAGUUGUCUCAAAAACCAUGCCAUUGCCCAUAUGUUCUCACAAAAAUGAAAUGGUCCAGUGAACAAACAGUCUACUGGUGAACAGUUAAUUGAUACACCAUACAAGAAAACAAUAAUCAAAAUGAUCAACUUCUUUUAUCAUGAGUGGGUGUUCACAAAUACAAAUAUGCAAACGUAGGAUUCAUGGCCCAACAAAGCACAUAGUGAUGAUACGUUCUUUUUCCAUUUUCCAAAGACAUGCUUCAUAAAUUAGAAAAACACACGAGGCAUUAAUUCCAUAAGUAUUAAUUCAAUUGUUAGGAUGACAGUUUUAGCCAAGUCAUCUCCCUUUCCCUAGUAUCAGCAACAAAUACAAUCAAUCAAAUCCCAAGGCAAAGGAUCAAGGAACUUAAAAUCACUGUACUACUCCUGAAUAUGGAGCCAAUCCUCCUUUCCACGCUAUUAAAGAUAAAAAAAAUAAUGGGAUGCUUUUGGAUCAAAUGUCGAGCUCUAAGGAAAUAGGAAUUAAGGUGGCCCUUAGCACCUGGCUUCAUAAAACAUAUGAUUUUCCAAAAUUAAAUCAAGCAGUUUUACAUGAGGAACUAGAUUUGAAGACAAAAAUAUUAACAGAGACUGCUAAAUACAAUGGUCAUGCGUGGAUACAAUUUAUACAUAUGGAAUACCAUUGGUUUGAUAAAUUUGGGAAUUCAGACACAUGCGUAUGAGCAUGCGCACACACAAAUCCUUGGAUUGGAAAGGAAUAGGAAAAUUAGCAAUGUUCUUAUUCAUAACCUUUGGACAUCUUUGAGUUUAGAAUUGUAUUUAUCUCACUAGCUUGUGCUUUCCUCAAGUACCACAACCACCAGACACCCUUUUUCCUUUACAUUAGAUGAUUGGCCCAUGGGAGGACUAACCUUUCACUGGAAUAACAAUCCACACCUUCUAAAUUUAUCUUUAUCCAUCUUUCUUUUCGUAAGAUAUUUUCAUCCCCUCUCAAGUUGUAGUACAUGAUCAAUACUUCAAAUUUUAGCCAUGCCAUAUUGUUCUCAAUGGUUUCAUAACUUUUGAGACGGAACCAACUUUAUAACAGAGCUCUGUAUUUGUCAUGAUGAUAGAUUUUUGGUUUUUUGAUAGGCAGUAACUUUUUGGCACAUGAAAUUGAACCUGGAAUCUUUCCAUCCCCAAUAAUUUAUCAUCAGAGUCAGGCAUCAGGGGUUCUAGUCAUGAUGAUAGAAAGAAAGAAUGAUAGAAAGAAAGAAUGAUAGAAUGAAAUCAAACACUUCAGAAAGGAUUAUUAACUGUGGAACCAAUGCCAAACUGGUGCAAGAUCUUUCAAAGUUGCACACUACAAUGGAGAAUUCGGACUAGGGUUUAUAGAAUAGGUUAGAUGAAUAGCAGUUGGUAUAAGAGGGUGGUUCCAGAAUAAAAUUAGGGUUUGAGAGCUGGUUUCAUGGUCUCAAUGUUUUGAACAUCAAUCACAUAGAAAUUAUAAAAAAAGACUUAACCCCCUUGCUAAGUAGAUUAAUCUCAACCAAUAAUUACAUUAUUAAUGGAACCUAAAACCUUUAACACUGUAUAAAGCAUUGAAAAUCUCAAGUAGACAAAAGGAAUUUACUCACUGGACAUUUGCAACUUGCCAUUUCAAUGAUACGUUAAAAGCACCAAAUCACAUUUAUCUGACCACUACUAACAACCAAAGUUUUUAAAGGCGGAAAGUGUAAGGUGUAGAGUUUUCAUGCCUGUGAGGCCAAGCAAAAGCCUCGAAACAUUGAAGCGUAAGUCUUUUGAGACCCUCAUUUUUAUAAUUAAUAAAUAUUAAAAUAUAUAAGAAAAUUAAAAUAUAAUUGAAUUAUAUAAAUUUUUGCUAUAAAUAUUAAAUCAAUCAAAUAACCUUUUUUUGGAACAUAUAAGAGUAAAAUUUCAAUUAUAUAAUGACGUUCAUAUUCUACAAAGUCAUAUUUUAAAUAAUUUAAAUAUGAAAUCAAUUGCCUAAUUUUUUGUUGUUUCAAAAUAAAUGAAGCUAAAGAAUUUUAAAAAGAAAAAUAAAAUCAAUUAUCUAUUUUUUUUUUACUAUUUGAAAAAAAAAAAUCAUUUGUCUAAAAUUUUCUACCAUUUGAAAUCAAUUAUAGAAAAAGAAGUUAAAGUUUAUCUAGUUUGCUAAUUUUCUACACACAAAAAGGAAAAAAAAAAGGUUGGCCUCAUAAAACAAAGAGAUCAAGAUGCUACUUGAAAAAAAAAAAGAUAAGAAACAAAUAGGCGUGAAAUAAAGCAUUAUUUAAGGUUAAAAAAAGAAAAGGGAAAACUAUAAAACCAAUUCAGGAGAAGAGAAGGAAUUAGAACUACAGAGAAAAGAAGAAUGGAUAACAAAUAGGGGGAAGAAGAAAGAGCCCCUGAUGUAGGACAACCCUAGGAUGGUUGCCUACACUCAAGGGUAGGUGGGCUAGGGUUUUAUUUUUAGGGUGUAAGGAGAGGAACAAGGAAUAAACUUUAUGGUAGAGAAAAUUAUAAGAUAAGAAAUAGAGAGAAAGAAGAAACAAUGAAGAAAAGAUGGAAAACCUUAGAGUCUCACUAAAGCCUUCUAGGAGUCUCACCUAGAAGAAAAAUCAAUGGAAUCUCACCAUUGAGGGUUGCAACCUUGCAAUAAAAGAAAGUAUAAUAUUAUUCAUCAAAUUCAUUCAUUUGAUUUACAUUGAUUAGCCUAUUUAUAGGCUUCUCUAAGAAAUCCAAAGUCUACUAGGACUCUAAUAACCUAUUAUGAUUCUAAUUAUAAUUAUAACAUCCAAAGUCUACUAGGACUCUAAUAACCUAUCAUGACUCAAAUUCUAAUUAUAUUAUAACUUAACUAGCUAAUCCUAAUUAGACUCCAACAAAUAUUAAUCCUAAUUUAAUUCAAAGUAAUAAUAAUCCUACUUUAAUUACAACUAAUACUAAUUCCCUUUCUUGAUAUAUAUCUUGAAUAUUCAUCCUCAUUAGCCCCUCUUCAAAAAAAGAGACACUCUUAAGUUGGCACAGAUUUUUUGUGGGUUAAAAAAGGAAAAAGGUGUGACAAGCCACUCCUCUAUGCCUCUUUCAGACAAUUUGGAAGGAAAUGAACAGUAGGGCAUUCGAUAAUGAAGAGCAUUCUGUCCAAAGGAUUAAACUUACUUUUCUUUGUAAUCUUUGGGUGUGAUCCAAAUUGUUUAUAGCUCAUGACCCUUCUAUUGUAGAUUUUAUGGAUUGGUUGGGGUCUUGUUGAGAGGUGCUGUUUUUUGUUGUCUCUCUUUGUUUUUUAGAGGUGCUUUAGGCACCCGCUGUAGACUCUGUACUUUGAGACGCUUUUUUGGUGUUUCUCUUUAUAUCAUAUGUUUCCUUUAUCCAUCAAAAAGGAAAAAGAAAGAGCCAAGGACCAUACUUGGAUAUCUUGUCAGAGUAAUGGGAAGAUGUCAAAGCCACCUACACCAGAGUGAGACGCUAUUGAUGGUCCACCAACAAUGAGUUAAGAGUUAGGGUUCUCUAUGUUUUCUCCUCUUAUUGCACUUUCCACAAGCUCUUUUGGUUAAAGGACCACCUUUUGUUUUUUUGAUCUGGUUGCAACAACAAAAACAUGUUAGAGGCUUAUGCCUUUGACAAUUUGAAGGCCUUAGAUACACUUUGACUCCUAAGGUCUAUACCUUUUAGGAGUAUAGCACUUUUGUGAACACUUUGAUGCGUUUUGGGAAUGCUUCGCCUUGAGGUGUGCCCUGAAGAGCACCUCACCAAUACCUUUAAAAACACUACUACCCAUGCCAUAACAAAUAUGCUAAUUAUCCAAUAUAACCCAUAAUUUCAACUAAAACAAACUUAAAUGUAAUCAAAUUUAAAAUUAAUCACCAGAAAAGAAAAACAAUUAAAAGGAAAAAAAUUAUAGCAUGAACACUAUGAACAAUAUCGAACAAAAGAGAACAAAAGAAUCUAACAUGACACCUUUCACUAAAAGAAAAAACAAAACACAAAAAGGCCUUCAUAAAAACCAGUUUUAUGAGAAACAAAUUUUAAAGAAAAUGUAGAAGUCAUAAAAAGGGAACGCCAAAUGCAUGUCAAAAUACAGAUAUUCAAACACAGUUAACAAGAAACCAGAAUCUUGGGUUAGAAUGCAUGUCAAAAUGUGGAUAUUAAAAUGCUGGUGAAACCACAUAGCAACAUCAUUACUCACCUCCAAAGAUGAAAUGCUGAGGACAGAUGCAAUUGCUGAAACAAUGUCCGACAACUUAAUUUGAACCCGAGCUUGCAGCACAAGCAGCUGGUGUAUUGCUGUCGUUCAGAGGGUUUUCAGCACGAGUCUCUCUCUCAUUCUGGUUACUCUGCUCCGUAACAGAAUCAGCCAGAUGACUUGAUACAGAAGCCUGGCCGGCCCCAUUAUUUUCCCUGGUGUCAAGACGCUCCAUCAUGCGAGAUACACUAGCAAUUCCAGCAUUCACCUCUCUCCGAACUUCAGAACCAAGGUCAGCCAUGGAAUUGUUACGAGAGAACAGCCUCUCCUUCCACCCUCUUGUACUCUUUGAAAUCGACUCUUUGUAUCUUACAACAUGCAUGAAUAAUAAUAAAUUUUCAGAUCCAGAAAAGAAAUUUAACAAACUUGUUGUAAACAUUUUGACAGAAAGUAGAGUUUUUAUGCUGCUUAUACCUCAUUGAUACUGCAUUAAGUCGAGAUUUCAGGGAUUCUGAAAAGGACUGUAACUCAGAAGGUCCUGCUCUAUCUUGAUCUGGAGGUGAAGAUUGACUUGCAGAGCUGCUAUAAACAGAUGAUAAAUAAUCAAAGAAAUAAAUCAACACAGAUCAUACUGGUGGUGGAGCUGGCAGAGGGUGGCCCCCUCUCAAAAAUGAUUAACAAGGCAAUUAAAUCAGAAAAUUAUGAUACCGAUUAUUAAAGGAAAUUCGUCGUGGUGUGACAGCAGAUCUGGAUGCUGAUGCAGACAUGUGAUCAGUUUGAACAGAUGGAAAUUGUGGGAUUUCCUGCGAUGGCUCAUCCCCACCAGCUGGAAGUGGGAUAGAUGGACUAGCUACAGUUAUUGCAGCUGGUUCAUUUUCUCCUACCUGAACCAGAGAGGCAGGAACAGGACCUGAAGCAGUUGCAUUAGGAUGAGUUGAGAAUACCAAGAAGUGUGAACGCCCAUGAGCAGAUGAACGACUCCUCUGGCCUUCCCUUCGAGCAAUGUGGUGAGCCCUUCCCAUAGCAGCAGCAGCAGCCAAGUGCUGAAUUAUUCGCUCUUCGAGUUCAGGAUCAUUUGUGCCCACUGGUAACUGCAUUACAGAGAGAUAUCAUAAAAAUAUAACCAGACAGGCUUGCCUUGUAAUGUGUAAUAACCAAGGAUGAAAAUACUGGAAACUGAUGGAAUAUUGAUGGCUAGAUGUUAUGGAAUUUCAGGAAAUAUCAAAUGGAAAUUUGGAAAAGAAUAUUGGUGAAACAUAAUUAGAUCAAAACUUAUAAAAAUGUUUAAAAAAAUCCCCAAAAUAAUAAAACAAGCAACAAUACACAUAUUAAAGUUGUUUUAAAUAAAUAAUAUAUAUAAUAAAAUUUGUAACAUUGAACAACAAUAUGCAAUACUUGAAAACACAUUUAAUACUAAAAUAAUGAUCUAUAUCUAAUUUGAAUGUACUUGAGGAAAUAAAAGAAAUUAUAAUAUAUAUGUAUAAUUAUUUUUUGUUUAAAAAUGUUUAUAAUUUUAUUUACAAGUUUAUAUUUUUCUUGUAUUUAAUUGUUGUACAAAAGAUAUAAAAAAGAGACUUAUUAAGAAGAUAUCACAUAAUUUUUAUCUUUUGACAAUCAUUUUAUUAGAAUUUAAAAUUAAAACAUUUAGAAAUAAAUGAUUGACUAAAGUUUAAUUUUCAACAUUUCAUUUCUGUAUGGAUAUAAAAUUAAUGCUGUAGAUGAUGCAAAGACAAAAUAAGUAUAUAUAUAUAUAUAUAUAUAUAUCCUUGUAGGAGAGUAGGGUUCACACUCCAAUCCCUCGUAAUUAGUUUUAAAAUAUGUCAUUUGAGGUGUUGCCGAUUUUGAUGUGAAAAGUGACAAGAUCAGGAUAAAAUCCGGAAAUAUCAGAAAAAUCGACAACAACCAGAAAUAGCUAAAAAAUUGGCGAUUAAAUCACCAAGAAAUCCAAAAAGAUGUGAGAUAUCAACAAAUUUCCUCCAGAAUGACUUCCAUCCUGUUUUUUCCCUUUGCCACCUCCUUCCAGUAUCCAAUAUUUUUCCCCAAAUAUCAGCAAAAUUUGCCGACAAUUUGUUCCUUGGUAGUAACAAAAUGAUAAAAGAAUGAUUCUUUCAACUGGUACUCAUGGACAACAGACAUGCUGUAAUUCAAAAUCCCCAAGGGUGGGAUGAUGAAAUAUUGCACUUCUUGGUGGAGUAAGCCUAAUAUUCCUCUCCCGUUCUACAGCCUCAAGCAAUUCCUGACUGGCACAACAUAAAAAUAGACACCAAAGAAGUAAUUCAGAUCCAAAUUGCAAAGCAGAAAAUCAAUAAAUGAAAAUGACCAAGAUGAACCUGGUUGGAUCCUUCAGGCUAAUUGAUUGCCAGCACAUUGGACAUUGAGAGCUUCUCUGGCACCUACAGAAUAACUAGAGUUAAAUUCCAGAUUCACAUUCGCUUUUACAAUCAUUAACUAUGGUUCAAAACUUUAUUUUGGUGUAAAUUGAUGAUUAACUUCCUGAAUAGAUUACCUUUGACAUUAAUGUAUUGAACUUCUCAUAGGAAUUUAAAAAUGACUUGUGAAUUUACAUUAUAUAUUUACACAUUGAACAUUUGAACAGGUCCCUAGGUGAGAUUAUGGAUAAUGACAGAAUGAAAAUUCAAAAGAAGCAGGUAACACUUUUUUGGAGUUAAAUGAUAUAUUGAUCAGAAACCAAUCUAUAGAAAAUUUGGUUGAUUCCAAUGAGCAUUCAUAUAAACUAAGUUUUAUCAAACCAAAUUUUAAAAAAGACCAUUUCAAUCUGAUAAGAAUCAUACCUAAUUUUUAUUUCAAAAACCAAUAAAACAUGACAUUUUAACUGGAUAUACACUGAUGUCCAUACAUCCAAUCGAUAUCAGAUUGCCAACAUGCCAACUCCAAUUUUAGAUGUAAUGAUUGUGUGCUAUUACUGUGAUUACAGAGAGAGAGACAGCCAUUGAGCACUGUAGGAAGCAGAAAUUCUCAGUAGAUGAACACUGUAGGUAGGAAUUAUUGCAUUUGAACACCAACAACAAAGACACAGCAAAUGAGCACUGCUGGGAGCAGACACUCUCAAAGGAUGUUAAGGUUUGACAUAUUUCCAGGCAAGAGAUUUUGUUAGAGAUAUGAAGUAGCGGUCAACAGAAGUUCAAGCGACUUGCAUUAUUAGGAAGUUAGGCACUAAAUCUUUAUCAUGGAUCUCUCAACAGCCUAAUCCUUCCCUCAUCUCCAGCACGGUUGAUCUUUUCAUUUUCAAGGAGGCCCAAUGCCAGCCUGUAUUGAGGAUAAUGUUGAUAUCAAGACCACAAAAAUGUGUUCAGGCACAUGCCAGAGGUAUCUUGUCUGUUUAAGAUGGACCAUUGGAAAUUUUUUGUGGAUCAACGUUUUCAAACUGAGACUUGAGAAGGCAUCCUGGGAAUUUAUUCACUAAGUAUUAAAAACCUUCUAGAUUGGUGAAGUUAUUCCUACUAGGAGGAGCUGCUGUAGCUUUGGUCAUUGAGAUUUAUUUUAGUUGGACCACUUUUCAUCUUGAUUAACAGUAAUUCAGUGUGCUUAAAUCUAUUGCUACUAUUUAUGCAGGACAGCAAUUGGUGAAUAAACAGAAUUACUAAAAAGCUCUCAGGAAAAACCUGUCCAAAUUCUUAUAUUACGUUAAAAUCAAAUUAGUAAGAAAAUAUUUAUUUGAGAGAGAGAGAGGAGAAAACACUCUAAUCACAACAUAUAUAUGUGAUGAUUAACAGAUUCUUCAUCAAGCAACUGCCCAACUUGUCAGUUCCAGCAAUCUAUUUCCUCAUUGUAUAUAACCCUGUUGUAUAAUCUGUUUCAAAAUACACCAGCAACUAUGCCGCAAUUAAAUGUCUUCUUCAAAGGUCCACCAAGAAACAACUUCUUCAGUGCCAAUAUGGUUUCUCCAGUACAGAUAGGUGUGUCUUGCCACUUCACAUAAUUCAAUGUUUGUGGUUUAGUCAAGUGUCAUUAACUGAUCACAUACUUUCAGAUCAAAUUUCGGCACAAUACGCUUGUUCUAAAAUCUCUGCUCACCAUAAUGCUUAACUUGAAUGACAGGUCCAUUGGUGUUCACAUAAAACUUCCAAAACAUUCUAGAAUUAUCUGUUAACAUCAAGACAGGUCCAUAUUUUAUGGGCUUAAGACUUAAUGAAUGAAAGAAAUUAAAUGUCAUUUUUGCUGGAAGAUUGUAGACAGCAUGGCACUUGAAUCUAUGUUUGAAGAACUACCUCCAACAGAAUUUAAUAGGUAUUUUUUCUUAUAGGUAAAUUUUUGUCCCUAUUGAGACUUGAACC